UUUUUGAUAUAUUUUAUUAAUUUAUAGUGGCAAAAGUAAUAUUGAUAAUUUUGAAAGAGCAUCUAUGAUAUUUUAAUUAUAACUUUUGACGAGUACAUAUUUGAAAUUGCUUUAAUUUUUUACACUACAAUAAAAUUAGGUUAUAGGAAUACAUUUUUGGGACACUUUUAUAUAAGUGUCCCAUUUGUGCCAAAAUUUUUUUAAGGCUAAAUUACAAAAACCCUCCUGUAAUAACCUGCUUUUUCACUUUCCCCCCUAAGAUUUAAAAACCUAUACUUUGCUCUCUUGUAAAAUGAAAAAUAUUCACAGGGGGGUUACGGUGUGUAAAAUGACCAUUUUGCCCAUCGCCAUUUUCGUCUUCUUCCUCAUCUUCCUCAGCCAUCCCUUCGAUCGGCUGCGAUUCUCACCUCAAUCGGCCGCGAUUUCUCUUCAUUUCCUUCUCCACCUGCUCCCCUUCUCCUCCUACACCCUCGCCGCCCCUCGAUUUCGACGAUAAUAGGGAGGAAAUCGAGGUGGGUGUUGAUGGAGAGGUAGGCAAGGACAACGAGGGCGAAGGCGAGGCGGCGGAGGAGGGCGAAGGGGAUCUGGGCGAGGGAGAGGUACUGGAGGACGGCGAGGCGGCGGCGAGGCGGUGAGCCGGAAGGAGGCGAAGCAAUAAGGAAGAGGGCGGAGGGGUAUUUUCGGCAUAAAAAAAUAUUUUAUAACGGAACCCUAACGGUAAGGGGUGAAGUGCACAUUUUUUAUUUUAUAAGGGGGCAAAGUGUAGGUUUUUAAAUGUCAGGAGGGAAAGUGGAAAAGCGGGUUAUUACAGGGGGAUUUUCUGUAAUUUAGCCUUUUUUAAAAAAUCUAUUAAGGUCUAAAUAUAAAGCCCAAUCCAAUUAAAAAUAAAAAGUUUCUCUACUCAACCAAUCACAGCCAGCCUACUCGGUCCGAUUACAAAUAAAAAAAAGGAAGAAAAAAAAAAGAAAAAUUGAUCACCAUCUCUCCUUCUCCUUCUCUGUCGCCGCAGCUAACGAGGUAGUGUUCCGGCGGCUGGAAUUCAGCCGCGAGGAUCUCGCAAGGACCGUAGAGGGCUACGAUCGCCACGUAUCCCUCGCCACAGGUCGCUGGAGUAGUGGGUACCAAAUAUCAAGGCGACCCUACCUAUAGCGACUCCACAUAUAGCAAUACUUUUAAAAAGUGUCGGUAAUUUAGUCAGCGGCACUUUUUUUGACGUGUACCGAUAUUUAAAAGUAUCACUAUACAUAAUUUUUAUUGUAGUGUUAGCAUGAAGCUUUUAUCACUGUUUUCACAGUUAGUAGUCUAGGAGAUUUUUUUUUCUUUGAGAAACAAAUAGUAUAUUAUCUGCUUCAAUCAUAAAAAAAUGAUUUAGUUUACGAGCGUGAGAUAACCGGGCCUCGAAAAGAAAAUAAAAUAACUAAAAUAAAAUAAAAUAAAAUAAAGAUUAAGAUGGUUGGUUAGCCUUCCCUAGACUACCAGUAGUUUAGAAGACUAGUACAUUUAUCACUGACGCUUUCAUUGAACAGUUCCAUUCAGCAUCUGUCCAAAAAUGAAAAAUCAGAUCUAAUCAAACAUCCCCAAGAACAUGGCAACUUUGUUAGGGAGAAUUUAAUACGGGUACCACUGUAGCUUUCUUUAACCAGCUCAACUCAGCAUUUGUCCAAAAAUCGCAUCUAAUCAACAUUCCCGAGGAAUUGGGCAAGUCCACACUUAUUUACUCGAUCAUGUAAUAUUUAUCUAUGAUUUAGACAUGGUAUAAAAUAUCAAUGUAUUGAAGUUGACAUCUAACAAUAAUAAUAAAUAAUAAUAGUAAUAAUCCUUUUUUAUGUAUAUAUACUUCGUAUAGGAUGUUGAUGUUUGCAUUAAAAUGCGUAUCAAAGUAUCCUUUGUGCAAGGGGUUCGGAAUAUCAUUAUCAAAAACGACAGAGCAACUGCUGAUGUAAUUCAAUUCAAACUUCUUCGGGGGCUACGUCCAGGUGAAAAUUUUUAUUUUAAUGAUUAUUUUUUUUAGCUCGUUUUUUCCUUUGUUUGCUCACGCGCUUCCGACCUUGAUUUUUCUAUUUUGGUUAUGUAGGUGUUGAAUAUAUAAAUUAAAAUCAUCAUUUUUUGACAGUUUGAAUUUUGAGAAAAAAAUAAAUUUUUAUACAAUUUCAUAUGGUAUAAAACUAAAAAAAUUCUUUGUUCGAAUUUUGUCAAACUGUUAACAUUAUUUAGUUUCUUCCUAUUUAAUUCAGGUCCAUAUUUUGGACUUGUUAAAAGUUUCGAGUACAAAUAUAAUGAGAGAAAGUAUUGAAAAUAUAAAUUAGGAAUAUCAUUCUUUAAUACUUUUAAAAGCCGUCUCAUAUAUUUAAUAAUAAAUUUGGAGAAUUUUUUUUGUGUCUUUUUUUAUUUAUUUAGGUUUAGGGACUUUUCUUGUUAUCUUCCUCGAUUUGUUUUGUUUGGGAGAUUUUGGGAGAUUGUUUCGUUGUUGAUGUCCUCAGCAUUUUGAGGCGGUGCUUUAUGUUCCUCCAAAAUUAUGUCGAAGUAAUCAAACUCCGAUAUUUAUUUCCCCUAGAGAAAGGUCGUCAACAUAAACAGCUAGAUAAAAUGCCUUUUGUCCACAACCGUUGUUAAAAGUUCACAGGUUAACUAUAAUAGUUAUUUUCGAUAGUGGAACAUUCGAUUCGGCGGUCGAAUUUACUUACCGUAAUUAACAGUAUUAAAAUUAUCUAAAAAUUAAAAUUUAUAAUUUUUUUUAACUUUAUGUUUCUUCAAAUUUAUAUGUUGGCGGCUUAAAAGAGCCAGUAUUUUGUCCUACGACGGAAAGCUAGAUAGGCUAGGUCUAAUCUCAUUCGAAAUGGCAGGAGGUUGCGUUGGAGCGAGUUAUGUUCGAAAUGGCAGGAUGCUGAUUGGGUCAAAUUACAAUUGAAACUCGUAUGCGCUGUAUUUAUAUGUUUUGAGUAAAUUGAUUGUAUUUUUCUAAUAGUUCGAGCUUUGGGAAUUAACAUAUAGCAUUAGACUACAAUACUUUCGAAAGUACGUAGACAUAUAUAUUUAUAAGUUAUUUUGGAUAAUUGGACAUUCGAUUCGAUGAUCGGUUUUAUUAGAUAAAAUCUGCAAUGUUAAAACUAUCGAAAAGCUAAAUUUUAUAAUUUUUAACUUUAUUUGACUAGUAAACGUAUAGACUUAAGCUACUAGAUUGAACGAGAAUUACUAAAUAUGUCGUAUUCAUAAACACGUGUGGAUCGAUCUGAAUUGAGUCGAAACUCUACUGAUGCGCACCUAUUAAUUGAACGGCAAAAGACUCGGCCCAAAUUUUUUAUCUGUAAAAAUAAAAUAAAAUAAAAUAAGGAAAACAAAAAAUUCUUUGAUACUGCUGAUAACAACCGCGAACGAUAGGAACUGGGGAUUGACUAAAGAUGGGGGAACUCGAGAUUUUCUUUUUCUUUCUUGGGUCGAGCUUAGCCGGACCACAACCGAAGUAGAUGCAGUGACGAUGAUGCUUUUUUCGUUUUUUUAAUUGAGAUAAAACGAUGCAAAUUGACAUAGCACCACUGCAAUUACUCUGGGCUAUUUAUUAUUAUGCUAAAAUAGGUUUAACAUUCUGUUCCGUAAUAAUAGAUUUAGAAGAUUAAUAAGUUAAGUUGGGUGAGCCUAAUAAAUUGAGCGGAGGUGCGGUCUACAAAAGAUCUAAUGGCAAUAGACUCAACAAUAGAUCUAACGUUCGGAUGAAUUAAGUCAAGUUGAAGCUCGCGAGCGCUGUGGCUGAGCCCUUAAGUGCGAUGGAUGCGCCUUUCCUAUCAGCAUGUGCUUUUAGAAUAGUUGGUUAGUAUUUACGAUAUGACAAGUGGUAUAAGAGCUAGUGGCGCGGGUUCGAUUCCCACAUGCUGUAUUAACGAUGCAUAUGACUAAUAAGUUGAAUUGGGUAAGCCUAAUAAGUUGAGUGAUGUACAAUCCAUAGGAGACCUAACAGCUAGAGGCUCAACAAUAGACCCAACGCUCGGAUGGGUUGAAUCAGGUUGAAAUCCGCGAGCGUUAUAGCUGAACCCUUAAGUGUAACCCUUAAGUGCAACGAGUACGUCCUAGAACGUAUUUUUAGAAUAGUUGGUUAGCAAUCUACAGUUACCACUCGGAUAAAACUCGAACGAAAGUUGAUCGGAAAAAAUGGGGUACGGCUUCAACAAUGUGCGUUUCAUAUUUUUAAUUAGGAAAAAAAAUAAUUUUUUGAACAAUUACUUUUUUUUGUUUAAAGUAGGGUAUUUUUGGUAAAUUCCGCGUGAUGCCAAAUUAAAAAGAUAAAAUCAAAACAGGUCGAAGCUAGUUUCCUGUUUCCCUGCGUAGCACUGAAACCCAGAUGUUUCAUUUUAACUCUAAUUUAGAAUUUUUAAUGGUUUAUAUUAUUAUUUGCAUAUAGAGCUUUUUGUUUUGUCAGAAUUGGCUUUAAAUAAAAAUGAAUACUACCAAUAAAAAUGGACUUAAACUUACCAAAUUAUAUGCAUGUAUUGCGUCCUCGUCUCACUUGGACUACGUUUGUGGAAUAGAAGGUGUAUGCGCAAGAAUAAUUCCGUCACUUAACAUGAAUUUUGUCAUAUUUGAUUAUAUCUAAUGUUUGUUAUAUACAUUUCUCAUCCAAAAUUUAUUUUUAAAAAGCUUUACAUCCGAAAUUCCUAACAUCUGCUAUUAGUAAUGCAUAUCAUUGGACAGUUAUUUGUUGACGAUCUUCUAUUUAACUCCAUUUUCCUUCUAAUCAAUGGAUUUUGGAUCGUUUCAUCGUAUUAAAUUAGUAUGUGAUAAUUUUUACACCACAAAUGUUUAAACCAUCAUUGUAGAUAUUGUAUUAAAAGUUUUAUUUGUGUAAUUCUUUAAAUAUUAUCCUUGUAUAUUAUUAAAGUGUUAAUAUUUUUUGAGAAAUAAUUAAAGUGUUAAUAUAGGAAUUAAUACUUUGCAUUAUUAAUACAAGCACUCUAAACGUUAUGUAUGGUAAGCAUUUCACUUCUUGUAUUAGCCGCAUUCAGAUGAGAAUUAAGAGACUUUGAUGGAAAUUAAAGAAUAUCCAUACUAAAACAAUACUUAAUAAAAAUCAGGUAAGAUCAUAAAGUACCGUAACUCCAAAAGUGAAAAGUUAACCAAGACCCAUAAAUUUUUUUUCACCACAUAUCCAUUUAUUUAAUUUAUUCCCAAAAUUAUAGCUAUCACCAACUUAGUUCCACUUAAUUACUUCGUCUAUCGAUAAUUUGUAAAUAAAGAAAUACCGAGUUAUAAUUCUACAACUAUCCAAAACUCGUUUUCUUUAUAAUACUUUAUUUUAUCCUAGAUUUAGCAUUUCUUUUUCUUUAUCUUUUAAACUACGAUACGGAGCAUACAUGCACCGUUCAAAACAUACAUAUCUAGACAACAUCUUUUUUUGGAAGCAGCACUUGGUGAACCAACUUGUUGAAAUUUACGAAAGAGGGACCACCCUCCUGCGUCGCCUUCACCGCGAUCUCCUUCCACUCCAUGGCCCUCCUCUUCAUCUCCUUCCCCUUCUCACCUCCCAUGAUCUCUCUUAUCAACCCCUCCACCUCCUUCCGCUUCACGUCGUUGUCGAUCUCCAUCCCUAUACCCCACUCCGUGCUCACGUAUCUGCCGAACAUAAAUGAUUAAUUAAAAUCAAUUGAAGUUGGUUUUUUUACCAGUGAUUUAAGGUUUUAGAGUAAAACGGUUAUUUUGUAGUACCUGCAGUUGGUUUGCUGCUCUGCAAAGAAGGGCCAGCUCAGCAUCGGCACCCCACCGCACACGCUCUCCAGCGUGGAGUUCCACCCGCUGUGUGUGAGGAACGCGCCCACCGCGGGGUGGCGAAGCACUUCCUCCUGCGGGCACCAGCUCGCCAUGAGCCCCCUCUCCCUCGUCCCCGCUACAAACUCCGGCGGGAGCAGCGCGGCGUCGCCCUUAACAACGUCGGGCCUGAUGAUCCACAGAAACUCGUGCUCGCUAUUCGCGAGCCCCCACGCGAACUCUAUCAGUUGCUGGUUCGUCAUGACUGUUAUGCUACCGAAGUUCACGUAGACAACGGACCCCGGCCUUUUGUUUUCCAACCAUUUUAAGCAAGCGGACUCCUCCUUCCACAGGCUGGAGCCCACGGAGCUGAGUGGGCCAUGGGGGAUGUGGCGGGCGAGGAGGGGGAGGGGGCCGAUGGUGUACAUGGGUGGCAGGAUUGCCGCCAUGGCUUCGAGCACUGGGCGCUCGAAAUCGUCGAACGUGUUGAGGAGGACAGCGGACGCCAUGGCGGUGCGCUCUGCCUCGCGUAGGAGGAAGUUCGCCAUGAUGUCGUCGGCGUCCACCGUACGGAUGAAGCUGGGGAAGUCUCGUAGUCUCAUGUUCGUCGCUCCCGGUACCCCAUCGAUCGGUGUUUCGAGAUACCCAUCAGUUAGCUGACCUACAUCUGUUCACACAGAACCUGUCAAGAUCCAUUCAGGUAGCAGGAACAAACAUACUGAAAGCAGAAGCACAGUCAAACAGUUCUGAAAGCGUGCCGCACCUUUAAGCGGAAAGAUACCCUUCUCCAUGAGUUGCCUGUAGUGGCGAUAGCUGAUGUAGCCAAUGGCACUAGCAGUCCAAAAGAGGACGAUGGGGAUGCCGAGCUCCUUUGCGGCGUCCAGCGUGAAGCUCAUGACGGCAUCGGAGACGACGCAGGUUACCUUCGGGACGCCCGAUGACGGGUCGUUGAGCUCCGCGAGGAGUUUGCGGAAGUGGGGGAGGCAGUUGGUCAUGGUGGACCGGCAGAGGGAGGGGACGUCCUGCGUCUUAUCCUCAUCCGAGAAGGGGAGGCCGUCGGGUAUGGUGGCGAAUCGGAAGUCGGGGAGGCCAUCGAGAGCGGCCGGGCCCUGUGACCGGAGAAGGCGGCGGUGGUUGUACUCGGUGUUGACGAAGGUGAUGUGGAAUCCAUGGAGGGAGUGGAGGAGCUUAGCCACCUUCAACACGGGCGUCACGUGGCCCUGCGCGGGGUAGGGGAUGCACACUGCAUGGGGCUUAUGAUCAGAUCCCACAGAACCCAUCUCUCUAUCUCUAACCGGGAUAUUUUUUGGAGGGGGUUGCUUUGUGUGGCUUAGAAAUUAAGGAGCUUCUUGGCUCUAUAUAUAUAGGGGGUGGGAUGUUAUAUAUCUUUCGUCGUGUUGGAGCUCCAAUUACAUAUUGGCCCCACGAUUGCAAGUAAGUUUGCAAUUAAUAGUAGCUAAAUGCCCAAGGAGACUUCGAGGAACCGCUCUUAACUUUGUGGAGGGCCGGCAGGAUAGCCCAGUUGCAUGUGCAUAUAUAUGUCGUGUAUAACACUUAUAUUAUAUUAUUUAUUUUAAAUUAGUUAUAUUUUUUAUUUUUAUAUUAUUCUACAAUAAAAAUAUUUUUUAAAAAAUAAUAAUGACGCAUGAAAAUUUUACGAUUGAUUGGAGGCAUCACAUCAGCAAUUUAACUUCUAAAUUUUUUUUUGACUCAGAGUCGUAAAUUGUAAAUUGAAUGUACAUGUACCAUUCAUGUAGCUUUCAAAUUUAUAUUCUUUGCACAACUUGUAGAAGAUGAAACAAUCAUAAGUUGGGGGACUAAUUCUUGUCUAUGGGGCGAAAUAAUAGUAAAGUGAUUAGUCCCGUCAAUUAACUCACUUAUUCCAAAGAGUAUUGCGUGCACCGAUGAUCACCAUGUUAGCAGGCAACCAUUGUACUACUUCCACAUAAUAAAUACAGUUUAAUUAAAAUUUAGAAGUAAAUCCGGAUAGUUCAGAAAUGAUUCAAGAUAGAAUUUGAUAUAUAUAUAUACACGCAUAAUAGCCAACACUUAAUGAGGAGGGCUACUGUACUAUUAGGAGCACGACAGUACUUGUACUCUUAAGUUUCUGACCAUCGAUCAAUUUUGAUGGGUUGUUAGGAUAAUAGGAAAAGAGUAAUUUGAAAAAAAAUUCAAAAAGAAGAGAAAUUCAGAUGCCCAAUUUUUUUUAAUUUUUCUUCUCUUUCUCAUCCUAGCCAUCCUUUAAAAUUAAUAGAUGGGUAGAAAUAUAAGAGCACAAGAGCUAUUGUAUUCCUUAAUUGUGUUCUAAAAUUAUGCUUAGUUUGGGAACUAAACUCUAGUAAAUGACUUUUGUUAUUUAAGAAAAUAAAAAAUAUUUUUAUAAGAUGGAAGUUAUAAAUUUACAUUUGAAUGUAUUCAAGAAUAUUCUAAAGAAUAUCCUUAAUAUAGUUGGGAUGAAAAAUCUAAAACAAUAUCUAUACAUUUUUAAAAAUACAAUAUUUUGUAUAGAAGAUUAUACAUAACAUACAUUAAAAAUUAAUGUAAUGUAAAUUUAAUAAUAUUAAUGAAAAAUCUUAUAAUAUAAAUUAUUCUCCAUAAAGUUAUUUUUACUAUUUUUUAUAUAAUACAUUAUAUAUAAUAUUUAAUAAAGAGUAAAAUAAUAUAAUAACAAUAUAUGUAAAACAACUUAAUAAAUAAAAUAAAAUAAUAUAUCACAUUUACUGUAAUUUAUAUUUUAUAAUAGUGGAUAAGUAAAGCUAUAUUAUAACAAAAUUAAUAUUUAUAUUAGUAAUUAUUUAUUUAUCCAUUUAUAUAAUAAAAAAUAAAGAGACUAACAAUUUUGUUACUAGUUCCAUAGAGAAUAACUUUUAACCAAUUUGUUCAAAGAUAAUUAGUUUUGAUGGGAACAACUAGUUUCUGCCUCUUUAGCUAGUAUUUGGGUACAAAGUUGGGAUUUUUUUUUGUUCCGGGGAUAUAAAAUAUAUUAACGAUUUUUUAUGCAUUAUAUUAUCAACUAUUUCAGAUAUUUUAUAAAAAUUGUGUUCAUGAGAAUUGAUUUGUACGGCGUUGUGCAAUAAUGCAAUAAUAACAAUGUUCAUCCUAUAUCCAAUUUUAUUAUAGUUGCAUAUAUAAUGGAACAUGAACGCUGGACCGCGAUGGCUAUGACGACGUAAGUGUUACAAGAAUUGAAGAGAACAAGAAGGAAAAGUGUGUCGGGGCGAAGACGCUUGCUGCGGCCGCAAGGGAGGGGGCACGACAAUGGACAAAGAUGCAGAGCAUGAAAAAAAAAAAAAUAAUAAAACUAAAAAAUAAUAUAGCAUCUAAGAUUCGACAUAUCUCAAUAUAUGAGAUAUAAUAGAUCGAGUUAAAUCUUGUAGUCCGAUUAUAGCAUAUUGGGUGGUGAUUAAGUCCAAUAAAUUAAAAGUAGAGUAAGAAUAAUUCUUUAAAUUGAUGACUCCCUAGGGAGAAAAAAUAAAAGUUUGACAUAUUGUUGGGCGAUAGUUAUGUCCAAAAAGUUAAUAAAGGAGAUGUGAGAUAUAAUGAUGUAGUUGGUUGACUAAAAAAGUUGAAAAAGAGAUAAAAUAUAAUAAAAUUAAAUCUCUUAACUUAGCUAUCGUACUUUAUCUUCAUGUGCUCUUUUCUUUUAUCUUUCUUAGAUUCUACGGCACCUUUGUCACCAUCGUCGCCGACGGCCAUGCCCUCUGCCACAGCUUCACCUUUGUGAUUUGCAUAUCUGAGUCCGUGUUAUUAUCGCUGGAGUUAACAGAGAUGUGAAAAAGGUAAAAGAGAAGCACAGCGUACGUCAACGUGGGAGUAGCAGGUGGGGAGGAGGAAGAGGGAUAAAAAGAGGUUGGACAAACAGAAUAAGAUAGAAAAGGAGGAUGAAUGGGGGAGAAAGACGAGCAACUAAGAGAAAGGAGAGAAAAAUACUAAUAAUAAUAAUUUAGUUAGUUUACUAAAAAUUUAAAUUUAAUAUAUAAAAUUUUAAAAAAUAAUAUAUUUUAAUAAAAAUAUAAAAUUAAUAAAAUUUUUAUGUAAAUUACUAUGACAUUGCACAUGGCACCUUACAAAACUGCAUAUCUAGACAACAUCUUUCUUAGAAAGCAGCACUUGGCUAACCAACUUGUCGAAAUUUGCAAAAGAGGGACCACCCUCCUGCGUCGCCUUCGCCGCCAUGUCCUUCCACUCCAUGGCCCUCCUCUUCAUCUCCUUCCCCUUCUCCCCUCCCAUGAUUUCUCUUAUCAACCCCUCCACCUCCUUUCUCUUCACAUCACCAUCAAUCUCCAUCCCGAUCCCCCACUCUGCGCAUGUGUACCUGCCGAACACGAAAGAUUAAUUAAAAUCAAUUUAUAUGAAUUUUUUAAAACAUUUAAAUUUUUAGAGUAAUACGAUUGUUUUGCAGUACCUGCAGUUGGUUUGCUGCUCUGCAAAGAAGGGCCAGCAUAGCAUCGGCACGCCACCGCACACGCUCUCCAGCGUGGAGUUCCACCCGCUGUGCGUCAGGAACGCGCCCACCGCGGGGUGGCAAAGCACUUCCUCCUGCGGGCACCAGUUCGCCAUGAGCCCCCUCUCCUUCGUCCCCUCUACAAACUCCGGCGGGAGCACCGCGGCGUCGCCCUUAACAAGGUCGGGUCUGAUGAUCCACAGAAACUCGUACUCGCUAUUCGCGAGCCCCCACGCGAACUCUAUCAGUUGCUGGUUCGUCAUGACCGUUAUGCUACCGAAAUUCACGUAGACAACGGACCCGGGCCUUUUGUUUUCCAACCAUUGUAAGCAAGCGGGCUCCUCCUUCCACAGGUUGGAGCCCACGGAGCUGAGUGGGCCGUGGGGGAUGCGUCGGGCGAGGAGGGAGAGGGGGCCGAUGGUGUAGAUGGGCGGCACGAUAGCCGCCAUGGCUUCGAGCGCCGGGCGCUCGAAAUCGUCGAACGUGUUGAGGAGGACAGCAGACGCCAUGGGGGUGCGCUCCGUCUCGUGCAGGACGAAGUGCACCAUGAACUCGUCGGGGUCCAGCGUUCGAAUGAAGCUCGGGAAGUCUCGUAGUCUCAUGUUCGGCGCUCCCGGUACCCAAUCGAUCGGUGUUUCGAGAUACCCAUCAGUUAGCUGACCCACAUCUGCUCAAAAAAAAAAAAGAAAAAAAAAGAAAAAAAAAAAGAAAGAAAGAACUGUCAAUAUCUAUUCACUUACUAAAGCAGAAGAAGCAGAACCAAACAGGUCUGAAAUUAAGCGUGCUGUACCUUUAAGCGGAACGAUACCCUUCUCCAUGAGGUGCCUGUAGUGGCGAUAGCUGAUAUAGCCAAUGGCACUAGCAGUCCAAAAGACGACGUCGGGGAUGCCGAGCUCCUUCGCGGCGUCCAGCGUGAAGCUCAUGACAGCGUCGGAGACGACGCAGGUCACCUUCGGGCGGCCGGACAACGGGUCGUUGAGCUCCGCGAGGAGUUUGCGGAAGUGGGGGAGGCAGGUGGUCAUGGUGGACCGGCAGAGGGAGGGGAUAUCCUGCGUGCUGUCGUCGUCGGAGGGGGGGAGGCCGUCGGGGAUGGUGGCGAAUCGGAACUCGGGAAGGCCGUCGAGGGCUGCGGUGCCCUGCGUGCGAAGGAGGCGGCGGUGGUUGUAGUCGGUGUUGACGAAGGUGAUGUGGAAUCCAUGGAGGGAGUGGAGGAGCUUGGCCACCUUCAACAUGGGCGUUAUGUGGCCCUGCGCCGGGUAGGGGAUGCACACUGCAUGGGGCUUGUGAUCAUCAGAUCCCAUAGAACCCAUCUCCCUAUCUCUAAUCGGGAUUUUAAUUCCUUUUUUUUCUUUUUUUUUUUGGUGGGGAGGGUGUUGCUUUGUGUAGCUUAGAAGGGAUCGAGCUUCGUGGCUCUUUAUAUAGGGGGUGGGAUGAUAUAUCUUACAUCAUCUUGGAGAUCAAAUUCAAUAUGGCCUCAUAAGUCGCAGUCAAUAAUCUGAUGAAAGCUGCAGCCGCAGUAGGAGAUUGCUAUAUGUUCCAGCCGUAUUUUAAUCAUAUCCUUCUGAAAAGUUAUAAAUAAAGAAGUUGUGUGGCCAUUUUUUUUGAACAGAAACUUUCAGCAACUACAAUUUUUGGUGAGCCACGGAUUCCGGUUGCGUAUGCAUAUCGACCCCAGGCCGCCAACUGUACAAUUGAUUUCAUCCGAACAUUUAGGCAGCGUUUGAUUGCCGAAUAAAGUGACAAUAAAUCAAUUUAUUUUUUUAAUUCAUUCAAAUAUAUAGGUUGUAAUUUGUUCAGUAUAAAGAGAGGACUAAGUCCUUGUUCCUUUCUAUAUAUUUAAAUAUUAAUUUUUUCUUUUGAAAAUUAUAAGUUUUAAUAAUUAAAAUUAUGGAAAAUAAGAGUGGAACAAUUGUUCCACCCUUGCCUUGAAAUGGGAACACGCUUUGUUAAAAUUUAAAUCUAAUUUUAAUUUUUAUAUUAAUUUAUUAAUUAAUUUAAUUAAUAUAUUUAGGUCAUUAUCUAUUGCUUAAAUAGUUAAAUAAUAAAUUUAUUUAUUUAUUAUUUAUGAUUAAUUAGCUCAUUAAAAAUUAAUCAUUUAAUGUGCUCAUCUAAUAACUAAUAAUUAUAUUGGUCAAUUAAUUAAAUUAAUUUCUUAAUAAAUCAUCUAAAUAAUGAAAUAAUUUACUAAUUAAUUAAGAAAUUAAGUUAUAUUUUAUAAUUAAAUAAAUAAUUAAUUAGUUAAUAUAUUGUUAUAUAAUAUUUAUAGUUAAUAAAUUUUAAUUUAUUAUAUUAUUUUAAUUAAUAUUUGGUAUUAAUCAAUUAGACAAAAUAUUAUUAAUUUAAAAUUAUAAUAAUUAUUAUUUUUACUACUCUAAUCUAACUAUCCAAAUACUUUUUAUCUUAUUCACAAACAACUUAAUUUUUAUCCAAACAAAAAUUUACCCUAAUUCUUAUUUAUACUUGAAUUUAUACCUAUUUCUGAAAUAAGUAUUUUUUACUUAUAUUAAACCAAACGAAGCCUUACAAUAUAUUCAUUUCAUCAUUAGCAAUUAAAAACAAAAUAAUCGUAGGUGAGAACAAGCCUCCCUUAUAAGUUAAAAAAGUAAUGAAGUGAUUAGUCCUGUAAACUAACUCGCUUAUUCCGUGCAUGUACUUAGUCCAACCACAUAGUUAAUACGAUUUGAGAAAAAUUCCAUUAUUUUUUUUCCUUUGUGGCUGUGAUUUUUCAUUUUAAAAAACAUUAUAAUUAAUGCACGCCACAUGCCAUUCCUGGGUAAAACGGGAUAAUGUAUUUUAUGUAAUGGUCAAAUAUGCCAGAAGAGAUAUCGUCCAAAAAAUAUUAUCAUUUUAAAAUUGAAGCGUAUGAUCCAAUCAAUUAUUUAAUGGAGAUAACGUCGAACUACCAUAGAUAUUUUUUCUUCCUAUCUUAAUUAUCUUCUGGCCUGAAUAAAUGUGUACGCAAAAAAAAUCUACACCUUUGUUCUAAACAUAUAAUAAAUUUUAUCAGUCAAAAGAUAGGAGAGUAGUCUCAACUGCUGGAUUUUAUUUUUUGUCGACCGUUGGAUCAACACGACUAGUUUAGAUUAAUUUUAUCUCUCUGACGAACCACAUAAUAUACAAUCUGGAGAAAAUUCUAUUUAACAAUAGUACAUUUCAUAUACGUUAUUUGUCUCUACAUUGAAUUUCGAGGUGGAACAAUAAAAAAAAAUUCUGUAUUUUGAGGUAUCUCAAUUGAUUUUAGUAAUGCUGCAGAUCUUUUGAGAUGCUACAAUUAUGAUUUAUCAAUAUAUCGAUUUAUAUUUUGUGGCUAAUAUUUUUUGACUGAUUUGGAGUAUGUUGAACUGUAUUUUUUUUAUUUAAAAAUAUAGAAAAAUUAUAUUCGUUUUAACCGGAGAAGUGCUCAUAGUAUCUUUAUUAUAUUUUUUGUUUCAUGAUGUUUGUUUGAAUAAAUUUGCAUAAGAAAUCAUCCAUGUUUUAAUUUCAAAAAACAAUAAGCAUAUAGUCAAAAUAUUAAGAUAUUAUAUUUAUUUGUUAGUAUGUAAAUAAAUAUCUAGUAGUUUGCUUUGCCGACGCAUGAGAAAAGUAGGCGGAGUACUUGAGCUUAAACAUAAAAGUGUACCUCAUUUUUUUUCAAUAAAAGUGUACUAAAGAGGGUAAGACAUUGACACGAGUACAAAAACAAAACUGUAUAUUUUAAACAACUUAAGUUCACACGUGUGGACACUCAAAAGAAUCCGUUUCGAAUCCGGAAUGAAUAUCACUUGGUCGACACAAAAUUCAACUUUACACUCCCAAAAUAUAUAUGAAUAUAGAUAAUUUAAAAAAGACACAUUCUCGACCUAAAACAAGAGGAACACAAACGUGUCCUUAAGAAGUUGACAAAAACAAAAGCAAAUGCCUAUGUUUCUCCCACCUAAACCUAAUUUGAUAAUAUUGACCGUUCCCGGCACAAGUAACAAAGAGUUUAAUAAUUGAUACUCGAGAUUCCAAAUUUAAAUUCAAAUUGAUUCACACUUCUAGUUAAAUUAUUUCUAACAGAAAUAAACGAAUCAGCUAGCAUAUUAUCUUUCUCUCUCAGAAAUAAAAAGACUAGUUUUAUUUUAUUAUAUAAUGGUUAAGAAAAUCGUUUAAAUAUUUAGAAAGACUUAAAAUAUUUUAAAAGUGAUUCUAAUUUUUUUUAUACUAUAAAAUUACAAGAGCAACCAGAGAUGGAAAAGCAUUUAUAGGCCUAAUUUGAUACGUAAUUCAAAGCACCACUUAUGUGCACUUUAUUAUAGGAUGCAAAUAUGAUAUCUCAUGAUCCAACAGUCUAAAAAUUUUUUUAAAAAAAUUUACUAUUAAAAAGAUUAACAUGAUAAGUAAACAUAUUUUAUUAAUCUUUUAAAGAUAAGCGUGUAAGAUUUAUAUCUGGAGGUACAUAAAGUAUUGCUUAGGAGCAGGACUGUUGUGCUCUUAGGAGCACGGCGGCCUCCAUACUACUGAGUCGUUUUCGAUGAUAAAUUUUCAAAUAGAUGAUUAGUUUCGCUAGACUUGAUCUAGCGUAGUUGAAGUUUCUAGAAAAUAUUUUUUGCGAUUUUUCGAUAUCAUUUACCUAGCAAUCGAAAAUAUUUAACAUCAACGGCUGAAAAUAAAAAUCCUAUAAAAGAUGGUGAUAUAGCAUUAAAAUUUUCAAUCAGAGAUAUUGAUCUUGUUGUAAAUAGUAUAAAAAAAUUUCUAUCAAAAUUUUAUUUGAUUUGAAUACUUCUAUACAGUUAAACUUGCAAACGAUAAACAUCAACCAUUAAAAUUUUUUGAUCGCUAGGUAAAUAAUAUUAUAAAAUUGUAAAAAUUAUUUUAUAGAAAUUUUAAAUACGCUAGAUCAAGUCUAACGAAGUCAAUCAUCGAUUCGAAAAUUUCAUCAUCAAAAAUGAUUCCGGAAUACGGAGGCUUUCGUGCUCCUAAGAGCACAGCAGUCCGGCUCCAUUGCUUAGUAUUUAAUCACAUGGCAAUCGACUUGUCAAGCCUAUAAUAAAAAAUUAUAAAGAGAGAGCCAGCAAGUUGGAGAACUUGAAAGUAGUGUCGGUCUGUGGGAAUCGUUUCACAAAACCGAAUUGGUAGUUUGACAUAGAACAGAGCAACAAGUAGUAUAAGUAAUCAAAACUUUCCACAACCAAUGUAGCCUAUAUAAUUAAAAAGGGAUAGUUAUAUAUAUACCUCUUAAAAUCUUUAAAAUAUCUUAUAUAUUUUUAUAUUUUUUAUUCUAAAUAUAUCCCUUAUAUAUUUUUUCUGUUACUAAAAAAUAUUUCUGCUAUUAGUGCUCGUUAAGUUAUCUUAGUUAAACCUGAGUUAAAUUUUUACUAUAGUUAAAAAAUAAUUAAAAAAAAAAUUUGUCCCUUAUGUAAGGCAAACAAGAAAAGUUGAUGACCGCAAAAAAUUAAUAUAUUUGAAAGGAAAAAAAGAAUUGAGCUAGAAUACUUUUAGAAGCACCAACUCCUUGGUGCUUCUAAGUUUAUAGCUCUUGGAUCUACUCUUUAAUUACUAAUAGUCUUUGAAUCAAACACUAUUUCACCUACCACCACCUACCACCAUCAUCUCAACCUUACAUCUCUCCAUCCAAUGGUUAAAAACUCAAAAGCGCCACUCUUUUAAUGCUUUUGAGAGUAUUCUAGCUCAACUCAGGAAAAAAUAUUCAAAAUACUUAUUUUGCUCCUAUUAAGGACAAAUAAAAAAAAUUUGGUAAUAGCAGAAUGCUAUAUUUGAAAAAAUAAAAUGAUAAUUUUACAGAAAUAACGACUGUUCCUAAUAAUUCACCAAUAAAAUUUAAUUAUAGAAAUACAUUUAAAAGACUUUAAAAUCUUAAAAUCGUAUUUUUAAUAUUAGUCUUUUAGAAAAAAUAAAUAAAUAAAAUAAUAAAAUUUUAGGACUAUAUAAGUAAUUGUCCUAAUUGAAAAUGUCUUAAAAAAAUAAGUUUUCAGCUGAAAUAAUAUUUAAUAUUUUUGUAAAUUUUUUUUUUCAAAUGAAGUAGGGGAAUAUCUCAUUCCCAAUGAAACAGGGAACGUGUCAUUCUGAUGAAAAAGACAAAAUAUAUGUCAAAUUAUUCAACAGAGACGGUUCACAAGAGAUCUAUCUAUCUAUCUCUCUCUUUCUAUAUAUGUAUAUAUAAAAAUAUUUUUAUUGAAGAUUUUUCAAACAGAUCCCUUUUAUAUCUCGUCUUUGCAGGAAAUUAAUGUCCAUUCUCACCUUGUUUAAUCAGAGACAACUAAAAAAAUAAUAAUAAUAAAAGAGAAUAUUUUAAUAUUUCUCAUUCUUGAAGUUAGAGUUGUGAUUUUUUUUUUUUAACCUUACUUUUCUUUUUAAAGUAGCACAGUAAAAAUAAAUACAAAAGAAAUAGCAGGACUCGGUUGUCAUUUUGGAGUAGUCUCUCUCUGAACCAAGAGGUCGAGCAUAGCAGGCAAGGAGAAAGACACAGCGACGAACUGAGCUUUGAUCCAACCAAGGAGAGGAGAGUCCACCAGGAUCUAAACCUUCCAAAAGAGGGGCUUCAAAGGCAUUAAAACCCAGCUUAUCGGGUCGGGUAGUUGGAAUAUCGGGGCCACCCGGUAAGCUUUGACAAUCAUAGGCCUCACAGGCAUGGCCGAGUCCACUUUCUCCCACUGAAAUAGGCCCAGAAAGCCCAAUAGUACGUUAUAUUGUUGCUUUUACAUUUCAGUCCACGUUUUAUGUAAUUUUACAAUUCAGUACCAUGCAAGAGGGAUGAGAACAUGAAGUAGAUGUAAAGAGCGAAAAAGGUAGAAUGAAAUAUUGAGAAACUUCUUCCCCUCAUUGUAUCCGCAUCCUCUUCUUUUCUCUCCUUUCCAUUCUUUCCUCUCUAAAUUCCCCUAAAUUCCUCAUAAUUGUGAAGCAUUGUAGGAUCCGACCCACCCUCACCAUCAUCCCCUCCGCCAUCCACGUCUCAGAGCGAUCUCAUCAUUGAUGGGUUGCAGCAAGUCCGGGAUAUUACAAUAUGAAGCCCUCAGUUCAAAUUUUACUAGAUUUUUAGUGCUUAAUUUCGUAUGUUUAAAUUAAGUUCAUAUUUUGUGCCUACAAAAAAAAAAAAAAAAGGUUUAAAAGUGAGGCACGUUUAGUCAAUUCUAUUACAGUGUUGUGCUAUUUAAUAAAAUAUUUUUAUAUAUUGCUGUCACGAGAACCACUGUAUUGAUUUUCUUUUUUUUUUUUUAUCGCACUCUUCGCGAUAAAAUCAAAAGCCAGCAACAAACUAAGACUUCUAAUAUUUGAGUUUACACUCUCAAUUGGCUUCUUAUUACAAUAGCACUAAAUUCUACAGUUUGGCAAAUAUUUGGAAAAUGCGACUGGAUGUAAAAUUAGAAGCAAGGCGAGAUAAGUACCAACUUUUUAUUUUUUUGAUUAAAACUAAAACGCUCUUUUAUAGAAGGAACGGAAAAUUAUAAUUAGAAUAUAUAAUUUGAGGAUGAAAAACUCAUAUUUACUUUGUGCACAACAGCCAAAAUUUCUCUAUUUACUAAAAGACCAUUCCAAUAAAACUAAUUAUCACAACAAGGUUGAAAGAGAAAAUUAAUAAGAUUCGUAACUAUAUAUAUAUAUAUAUAUAUAUAUAUAUAUAGAGUGAGGUAACUAUACUAUCGGAAGUACGGAGCAUUCUGAUAGUACCUAGAAAAUAAAUUUUAUUAUUUUUCGAUAUCAUUUGUCUAGUGAUCGAAUGGGCUCAAAAUCAACAAAUUUCAAUGGCUGUAGUGAGCCGUUUGCAAGUUUAACGGUGUAGAAAUAUCCGAAUCACGUGAAAUUUUGAUAGAAAAUUCUUUAUACUAUAUAAAACGAGAUCAAUAUCUUUGAUUUAAAAUUUUAAUGUCAUAUUAUUACAUUUUGUAAGAUUUUUAUUUUCAGCCGUUGAUUUUGAGCCCCUUCGAUCACUAGGCAAAUGAUAUCGAAAAAUCGCAAAAUUUAUUUUCUAGAUACUUCAAAUACUCUAGAUCAAGUCUAACGGAGCCGAUCAUCGAUUUGAAAGUCCCAACAUCGAAAACAAAGUGGAAGCACGGAGCGCUCCGUGCUUCCGAAAGCACCCCAGACGCACUCUAUAUAUAUAUAUAUAUAUAUAUAUACCAGAGUCCGACUAUGGUGCAUUCGAAAAAUAAAGAAUUUGGCGCUUCAGACUUUUUUAACUCUUGGAUCAAUCAUUUCUAGCCUUUAGAUUAAUAUUAAUUUUCUAAGAGGACCACUAAACCCUAGAGACCAUUAUCAUUGUAAUCCUAUAAUUUUUUAUCCGAAGACUAAACAGUCGAAAGUAUCAACUCCUUUAUAUCACAAUAAAAUUUACAGCAUAUGUUUAUUUUUGUAUUCGUUUCGUUCAAGUGAAUAUCAUAGUUAGUUAAUUCGCGAAUAAUUCGCAAAUUAUUCGCGAAUUUUUGAGAAAACGAAUUUAACAGCCGUAUACGUAUUAUUCCCAAAAAUUUGAAAAAAAUCGCGUUUUUUUUGUCAAAAUACUUGUUCGCGAAUAAUUUGUGAUUCGCGAAUUAUUCAUCCGAAAAAAUCGGCCCUGUCGGCUUGCAGGUAGCGGGCUCGCCGACGGGUCGCGGGUCUCAUGGGUGGCCCAAAACAUUAAAAAAAAAAAAAAAAAAAAAAAAAAAGAGAAAGAAGAGCCGAAAAAGGGUUUUGCCCUAACCCUUCACCCCUGCCGCUCUGCCGCCGACCCCAGCCCCAUCCCUUUCCUUCCUCCUCUUCCCUUCCCUUCCUCCUCUUCCCUUCGAGCCAUCGGAAGCCCCCGCGUGGCCACAUCGAAGAUCGGGUUCUUCAUUCUUCAGAAAUCAGAACCCUCCUCGUCGCCUCUUCCUCUUCCGCUUCCGCUUCCGCUCUCCAAACGAUGGAUCAGUAAUCGGGUUGUUCUUUACAAGAAUUUUUAUGCUUUAGUUUCUCUCUCUCUUCUUUCCUUUAUUUCAUCUUCUCUUAAUUACUAACUGUAUGGUUUUGAUCAGUAACAUGACCAUGACUACAACAUGUAGCAUCAUUGUAAACAUGCAUUUGUUAAGAUUCAUUACUUCCUUUUUAUCUUUAAUCUCUACAGUAUACAUGAAUAUGCCCAGCAUACAAGAAUAAUCAGCAAAUAAGGCUUUAAGAAUUAAGUCCUCAAAAGGUUUGAUAUGCUCAGCAGGUUUGAAAGUCACAAGCAUAUGCAUUGAUUAAAAACCAAGGGAGAUCUAGCAAACUUAACAAAGGUACAUGGGUGUUAAUUGGCAAUACUGGGAAUUUCCGAUAAAUUUGGAGAAAUAGCAAUAUGGAGAUACAGAUUUGAGUUUGCUAUUUGCUUAAUUAUAGAUUUAUUUUGGAACAUAAUACAGUUUGCUAAUUUUUUACUUAAUUAACUUAAAUUUGUAGCUCUUUAUUCUUAUAUUCUUAAGAAUUAUAAGUAUUUGUACUAAUUGCAUAAAACUUGAGAAAAAAAAAAUUUAAUUUAAUAGUCGAAUUUUUGAUCCCGAAUUUUUAAUUAGUGAACGUAUAAUAUCCGUAUAAAUCAAGUAUCCGAAUAAUUGGCGAAUCCGUUUUUUAACCGUAUUUUUCAACGAAUUUAAAAAUUAAUAGACGAACUCUAUCCGAAUUAUACCCGUACCGAAUUUUUGCCGAAUCCGAAUUAACUAACUAUGGUGAAUAUAGAUAAAAAAAUCAAUGAUUCAACCCACUAGCAUUAAUAAUUAAUAAUUUACUUUUGUGUCCGAUUCUUUUUAGUGAAUAUAGAUAAAGAAUUAACGAUUUGUUUUACUAAAAUUGAUAAUAUUUUGGGCCCAAAUUGUCGGCCCAAAAUAUUUAAGUUCAAUAAUUAGUUAUAGUAUGUUCGUCACAUGUUAACCUCUUACACUUCUACUUUAUUCAAUGUGGGAUUAUUAGGAUUUUUCUAUUUUAAUUGCUGAUGUGCUCGUUGACUCAAUCUGCCAAAAAUUAUUAGAUAAUGUAAGAUAUAUUUCACAUUUCCAAGUGGUAAACCAACUUUAAUACCAAUGAUAACAAGUAAUUCUAUUAAAAUUAAUAACUGAACUUAAACAUAUUGAGUCAAUUAUUUGUGCCUGACAAAUUAUUACUUUUAGUAGGCUGAGCCAUUAAAAUUUAGUCUUUAACUUUUCACAUAUACGAUACUUUAUCAGUCAUUAUGCGUCAAAAAGCUGAUUUUGUUAAAAAAUAAUCACUCUAUCUCUUUUUCAAACAAAAGUUAUGAUAUGUCCGAUUAUUUUUUUUAAUAAUGAAGAGUACAUUAAGGAAAAUUGGAAAUUGCAUUGUAAUAUUAAUUGUAAUAAUUUAUAAAAAAGUUGAGUUAAAAAUUAUGAAUAUUAAAAUUAAAAACUAAAGUAACACACUUCUUAUAUUUGGAGGACCAAAACUAUAGUUUGAACGAUAAAAGAGAGUAAUACUGUUUGUACGUCCAAAUCCAAGAUUAGAUGAAAUUUUACAUCUUAUCUAUUACAGAGCUAUUAUUUUUUUGGUAGAAAUCUUAUCACACUUUUAUUUUUUAAAUAUCAUUAAUUUAAAAUUAUUGUAUAAAUUAUUUAAAACUAGGCUACUAUACUAUCGGUAGCACGGAGCGCUCCGUGCUACCAAGUUGUUUUCGAUGAUAGAGCUUCCAAAUUGACGAUCGGCACCGUUAGACUUAAUCUACAAUAUUAAAAAUAUUUAGUUAUAAUUUUUUGAUAUCAUUUACCUAUAUAUCAAACAAGUAGUCUAAAAUUGAAGGGCUGAAAAUAAAAAUCUCAUAAAAAAUAAUGAUAAAAGAUUUAAAUUCAAGAUCAGAUAUACUGAUCUUACUCUAAACAGUAAAAAGAAUUUUCUAUAAAAUUUUCAUCGCAUUUGGAUUGUUUUACACCGUUUAACUCGCAAACACACAACAUCGGCCAUUAAAAUUAUCAGUUUUGAGAUCUUUUGAUCACUAGUCAAAUGAAGUCGAAAAAAUCUAAAAUUUAGUUUUUAAAUGCUUUCAAUAGUGUAGAUCAAGUCUAACGGAGCCGAUCGUCAAUUUGGAAGCCGCAUCAUCGAAAACAACUUGGUAGUACGGAGCGCUCCGUGCUACCGAUAGCAUAGUAGCCGGACUCAAAUUAUUUGACCAAUAAAUAUAAAAUUUACACUUAAUUUUUAAAUAUUGUCUAAGAUGCAUGUGUGACGCAUCUUGCGAAUUGAGUUGCGAUGAGGUGGAGAGUUUUUGCUUGAUUUGCGCAAGCUAAGCUAGUGCGCAAAGCUCCAUUUGUCCCUCAUAAUAUACUAAUUAACAGGAGCUAGCUAGCACAUGGAUAUCGUCAGUUGCCACAGCUAGCCUACAGGUGUAGAGUUUGCAUUUGUAUCUGGGCACUACACAUGGCAAAGAAGACCAAAAAGAUUAAUUUAUUUGAAAGAUCUAUCAUAUUUGCCUUUUUUAUAAUAUUAUUAUUCAAUACUUAAAGAUUCGGCCGUUCAUAUUAACAAUAAGUAUAGAUCCCGUUUGAACAGGAUCGGUCUGAUCCCUAUUAUAUAAUUUGCUCUUGCAUUGAUGUGGUACGCAUUGACGUUGGAUCGAUAGGGAGAUAUUUAAGAAUUAAUAUUAUUUUGCCGAUUAAAUCACCUCUGUAUCAUUAUGUUAACAUGAUUAAUUUUUACAUUUACUGUUAUAAGAUAAUUCCUCGUGAAGCAUGAGCCACGUUAUUUAAACUCCAAGUUGAUCAUCGAAGAGAAUAUGGGAAUGGCUGUAUAAAGAAGCCAUUAGCUAGCUAAUAGCAUCUUAGCCAAACAAAUUGAGGAACCACAAUCCCCUACUAGUGUGUGUUUGUGUUGAGAUUGAGAAAGAUUGAGAGAUGGGUUCUAUGGGAUCUGAUCACAAGCCCCAUGCAGUGUGCAUCCCCUACCCGGCGCAGGGCCACAUAACGCCCAUGUUGAAGGUGGCCAAGCUCCUCCACUCCCUCCAUGGAUUCCACAUCACCUUCGUCAACACCGACUACAACCACCGCCGCCUCCUCCGCUCGCAGGGCCCCGCUGCCCUCGAUGGCCUUCCCGAAUUCCAAUUCGUCACCAUCCCCGACGGCCUCCCCCCCUCUGAUGACGACAGCACGCAGGACAUCCCCUCCCUCUGUCGAUCCACCAUGACCACCUGCCUCCCCCACUUCCGCAAACUCCUUGAGGAGCUCAACGACACAUCCACAAGCCUCCCGAAGGUGACCUGCGUCAUCUCCGAUUGCGUCAUGAGCUUCACGUUGGACGCCGCGAGGGGGCUUGGCGUCCCUAUUGCUUUCUUCUGGACCGCGAGUACUUGUGGCUUCAUGGGCUACUUCCACUACAGGCACCUCAUCGACGAGGGCAUCAUUCCGCUCAAAGGUGCACAAUUUGAUACUAUUUUUAUAUCAGGUACCAUGUAGACCACCGCCAGAGUGCUCAAUUGAUCAGGUGAAAUACGUACUAACAAAUAAUACGAAAAGAAUUUCAUCCAUUGGAUGUAAAACUCUUUUUAAACAGUAUCUUUAUCUUGAAUGUGAUUUUAGAUUUAUUGGUAGAACUAGCAAUCGAAUCUCAUGUUGUUAUAUGAGGUGCAAGUAUUACAAUAUUGCUUAGAUAAGAUUACUGAACCAGCAUCUCACGGACAUGUUUGGUAGUAUACUAAUGAGGUUCGUCGAUCGGGAACAGAUGCGAGUCAAUUCACCAACGGGUACCUCGACACCGCAAUCGGCUCGGUCCCCGGAUUAAAGAACAUGAGGCUGAGAGACUUCCCAAGCUUCCUCCGUACGCUGGACCCCGACGAGUUCAUGGUGCACUUCAUCCUGCGGGAGAUGGAGCGCGCCACCAUGCCGGACGCCAUCAUUGUCAACACGUUCGACGAUUUCGAGCGCCGGGCGCUCGAAGCCAUGGCGGCGAUCCUUCCGCCCAUCUACACCGUCGGCCCCCUCCCCCUCCUCGCCCGCCGCAUCCCCCACGGUCCACUCAGCUCCGUGGGUUCCAACCUGUGGAAGGAGGAGCCCGCAUGCUUAAAAUGGUUGGAAGACAAAAGGCCCGGGUCCGUUGUCUACGUGAACUUCGGUAGCAUAACGGUCAUGACCAACCAGCAACUGAUAGAGUUCGCGUGGGGGCUCGCGAACAGCGAGCACGAGUUUCUGUGGAUCAUCAGACCCGACCUCGUUAAGGGCGACACCGCGGUGCUCCCGCCGGAGUUUGUAGAAGGGACGAAGGAGAGGGGGCUCAUGGCGAGCUGGUGCCCGCAGGAGGAAGUGCUUCGCCACCCCGCGGUGGGCGCGUUCCUGACGCACAGCGGGUGGAACUCAACGCUAGAGAGCGUGUGCGGUGGCGUUCCGAUGCUGAGCUGGCCCUUCUUUGCAGAGCAGCAGACCAACUGCAGGUCUUGCAAAACAACCGUUUUAUCCUAAAAACUUAAACCAAUAAAAAUAACUAUUAAUUAAUUUUAAUCAUUUAUGUUCUACAGAUACGUGUGCACGGAGUGGGGUAUAGGGAUGGAGAUCGACAACGACGUGAAGCGGAAGGAGGUGGAGGGGUUGAUAAGAGAGAUCAUGGGAGGCGAGAAGGGGAAGGAGAUGAAGAGGAGGGCCAUGGAGUGGAAGGAGAUCGCCGUGGAAGCGACGCAGGAGGGUGGUCCCUCUCUUGUAAAUCUCAAGAGGUUGGUCCACGAGGUACUUUUGGCGAAGAAGGGCGCUGUGUAAACUGUAGCACUUGUCCCAGAACCUGCUCUACAACAUCAUAUGAGGACCAGUCAAUUGAGCGGCCCUUUUUUUAUUUUUAUUUUUAGUUUUUAAAUUAGCUCGGAUCUAAAGUAGGGGUGACAAUCCAGCUCGCUGUUCAUGAGUCAGUUCAUGUUCGGCUCGAAAUAAGUUUAAGAUCGAAUCGCUCGUUUAAUAAACGAGCCAAACAUAAGCUGAAUUUUUCGAAUCGUUUAUUAAACGAACCGAACACAAGCUGGGCUUAGCUCGCUCGUGUUUGGCUCGAUCACAGUUCGAAUACAUAUAUUUUAUACUUAUAUAAUUUAUUUAAUUUAUAUUUAUAUAUAUAAAUAAAUAAUUAUAUAUAAUAUAUAUUUUUAUUAUUUAAUUUUUAGCAAAAUAAAAAUAUAAAGACGAGCUCAAUUAUAAAAAGAUUCAUUUAUAUGUAAACUUUCAACUAUUAGAUCAAAGUCUAAUGGAUAAGAUUUUAUAAAUUUAUUUUUUAUAUAUAUUCAAUCUAAUUCUUUUAACUUAUUAUUCGUUGGUCAGCUCGCGAGCCAGCUCGUAUUCAACUCGUUUAUUAAUAAGCCGUAUACGAGCUGAAUUUUUUGGCUCAAUAUUUUAACGAGCCAACUCGUGUUCGGCUCAUUUAUUACACGAGCCAGCUCUAGCUCAUUCGUUUUCGGCCCGUUUACACCACUAAUCUAAAGUAUUGUAUUGUUUGACAUAUUAUUCUGAUUAAAAAAAGAAAUUCUCAGCCGUCCAUUGACUUCCUAAUGGGAGAUAUUUGAUUACAAGAAGGGCUUUUUGCUCGUAGCUUUCAAAAUUACGCCCAACAUAAUUCGUUUGCAUACAAAUGAAUGACGGUUUACAACUAAGUCGCAAAAUUGCAACAAAAAUAGUAUUGAGGUGGAAGAAGUUUAAUAUAUUUUUUAUAAUUUUAAAAAUAUUUUAUUUAUUAUUGAAUGACCAAAAUUUUUUUAUUGGUUUCAAAAUAUCCCUUCAAAAAUCUCCCUUUUCUCUAGGGUUUACUAAUAAAAUUAAAUUUUUGAAGAGUAUUUUGAGUGUUGAGAGGUAAAAUUAAAUUUUUUUAAUAACAGUAACGAGCAAGUAAACAAAAGUUACUAAAAAUAAUGUCUUCUAGCCGUUUAAGUCUUUUUGAAAAUUGCAGCCGACUAGACAUUAUUUAACAUGAUGCCACAGAAUAUUUUGAGUUUAAAUUUUAUCCGACACCUAGUCUUACAUUACAUGUAGUUUUUAUUCUUCAAUAAAAUAUUUUUAUAUCGUGGUCUAAGGAGAAAAUCUGUGUUGAGAUUUGUUUGAUAACUUCUUUUUAAAUAACGCGAACCAAAUAAGCCUUAUUCAGAAGUUAGCAUCAAAUCUUGACUUCUAAUUUUUUAGCUUAGAAUCGCAAUCAUCUUCUCAUUACAAUAGAAGUUCUAAAUUUGUUAGUUUGUCAAAUAUUUCGUUAGAAAUAAUUGUGACUAGAAGCAAAUCAGAAAUAAGGCCAAAUUAGUAAAAAAAAAAAAAAAAAAAAAAAUUAUUCUUUACAAAAAAAAAAAAUUGUUCCUUUAUAUAAGACGUGGAAGACGAAGAUUAGAAUAUAAAUACUAAUUCAUCAAAAGCGUCAUUAUAGGAGUAUUAAGAUUUCUUCACGGAAUAAAUUCUAAUGUUAUUUUUAAUUUUCUGGCGCUUAAUUUGAAUUUUUGGACUUGGCCAAUUUGACCUUCCGACGUAAAGCAAGAUACUGACCUCUUUAGCCCAACAAUUCUCUUCUCUUGUUGGCGCUAACCAUUAAACCUGAAAGUUCAAACUGUUAGAAAUACACAACUAAUCUUUUAAAAGUGUAUCUUGAUUGUGACUUGGCCUUAUCAAACUCACGUCAUUUCGAACAUGAUUUGUCCAACUUAGUUUUACACCAUUUCAAACGUAUCUCGACCGACCUGACCUUCCGUCACAAAAAAAAAUAUUAAUAUUUUUAAGCCAACAAAAAUAUCAAAAUAUACCUUAGCAAAAAUGUACAUAACAUAAACGUCAGUAUACAUGUAGUGACUCUUUAUUUGUUAAUAUUUUUUGUCCACGCAUUCUCAUGUAACAGUAAACUACUUUGGAUUACUUUUAAAUAUUGUUAAUUAUUAAAAAAACAAAUCUUGAGAGUUUUUGAUUGACUUGUGCAAGCUAACUAGCGUUCUAAGCUCCAUUUGUCCACCAUAAUUCACUAUAACACUGGAGCACAUGGAUAUCAUCGGUUGCUACAGGUGUAGAGUUUGCAUCUGUACACAGAUAUAGCAUAUUCCAAUUAAUGAAGACUUAAAAGAUAAAUUAAUUAGAUAGUUGAAUUUUAACGAAAAAGUGAUAGGCCAGUGUAGUAAAUAUUAAUUGCUCAUGAUGCCACGUUAUUUGAAUUCCAAGUUGAUCAAAUAGAACACGGCAAUUAAUGGUUAUAUAUAUAUAUAUAUAUAUAUAUAUAUAUAUAUAUAUAUAUAUAUAUAAUAUAAGACUAGGCUACUAUACUAUCUAUAGUACCGAGCUCCGGUACUAUAGUGUUUGUUUUCGAUCUUAGGGCGUUCAAAUCAACGAUCCACACCGUUAAAACUGAUCUAGAGUAUUUAAAGUUUCUAUAAAUAAAAUUUUAUAUUUUUUCGAAAUAGUUUACUUUAUUAUCAAACUAUUUCAAAAUUAUCAAUUUUCAAUGGCUAUUAUGACGAGUUUGGAAUUUAACGGUGUAGAAGAAUCUAAAUUUCUUCAAAUUUUGAUAGAAAAUACUUUAAACUAUAUAAAUCAAGGUUAACAUUCUUGAUCUUGAAUUUAAAAGUCCUAUACUCAAAUUUUAAAGAUUAUUCAAUUUUCACCGUCCAUUUUGAUAUAAUUUAUUUACUAAGUAAACGAUAUCGAAAAACACUAAAAUUUUAUUCCUAAGAAAUUCAUAUACCCUAGAUCAUAUUUAACGGUGCGAAUCGUUAAUUUGAAUGUCCUAAGAUCGAAAACAAACACUAUAAUACCGAAGCUCGGUACUAUAGAUAGUAUAGUAGCAUAUAUAUAUAUAUAUAUAUAUAUAGAAAAGCCAUAAGCUAGUGAGCAAGUAGAAUCAUAGCCAAACAAAUUAAGGAACCACAAUCCCUGUGUGUGUGUGUUUGUACUGAUAUUGGGAAAGAUAGAGAGAUGGGCUCCAUGGAAUCGGAUCACAAGCCCCAUGCAGUGUGCAUCCCCUUCCCGGCGCAGGGCCACAUAACGCCCAUGUUGAAGGUGGCCAAGCUCCUCCACUCCUUCCACGGCUUCCACAUCACCUUCGUCAACACCGAGUACAACCACCGCCGCCUCCUCCGCUCGCAGGGCCCCGCCGCCCUCGACGGCCUCCCCGACUUCCGAUUCGCCACCAUCCCCGACGGCCUCCCCUACUCGGAUGAGGAUAGAAUGCAGGACGUCCCCUCCCUCUGCCGGUCCACCACGACCAACUGCCUCCCCCACUUCCGCAAACUCCUCGCGGAGCUCAACGACCCGUCGUCCGACCCCCCGAAGGUGACCUGCGUCGUCUCUGACGCUGUCAUGAGCUUCACGCUGGACGCCGUGAAGGAGCUCGGCAUCCCCGACGUCCUCUUUUGGACUGCUAGUGCCAUUGGCUACAUCGGCUAUCGCUACUGCAGGCACCUCAUGGAGAAGGGCAUCGUUCCGCUUAAAGGUACAGCACGCUUAGGCCCCGUUUGGAUACUCCUGAAAACGUAGUAUAGUUAAACUAUGCUACGGCGGUAAAAAAAAUAUCCUAUAAAGUGUUUGGAAGGAAAAAAAAAUAACGUAAUUUUUGGAGUAUAGUUAAACUAUACUCUAAAAAAUAAAGUAAAAGUAUAAUCCACUUUAACCAAAGAAAAAAAAUUUUCACCAUUCAUGAGCUCCCUUACUCAAAAAAAUGCAUCAACUUCUAACUUUUACUUUAUUUUUUAGAGUAUAGUUUAACUAUACUCCAAAAAUUACGUUAUUUUUUUUUCCUUCCAAACACUUUAUAGGAUAUUUUUUUUACCGCCGUAGCAUAGUUUAACUAUACUACGUUUUCAGGAGUAUCCAAACGGGGCCUAAGCGUGCUGUACCUUUAAGCGGAACGAUGCCCUUCUCCAUGAGGUGCCUGCAGUAGCGAUAGCCGAUGUAGCCAAUGGCACUAGCAGUCCAAAAGAGGACGUCGGGGAUGCCGAGCUCCUUCACGGCGUCCAGCGUGAAGCUCAUGACAGCGUCAGAGACGACGCAGGUCACCUUCGGGGGGUCGGACGACGGGUCGUUGAGCUCCGCGAGGAGUUUGCGGAAGUGGGGGAGGCAGUUGGUCGUGGUGGACCGGCAGAGGGAGGGGACGUCCUGCAUUCUAUCCUCAUCCGAGUAGGGGAGGCCGUCGGGGAUGGUGGCGAAUCGGAAGUCGGGGAGGCCGUCGAGGGCGGCGGGGCCCUGCGAGCGGAGGAGGCGGCGGUGGUUGUACUCGGNCCAAAUUUCAAAUUUUAAAUUUUAAAUUUUAAAUUUUUUAUUUUAAAAUUUUAAAUUUAAAAAUUUAAAAAUUUAAAAAUUAAAUUUAGAUUUUUAAUUUUUAAAUUUUAAAUUUGUAAAUUUCAAAUUUGAAAAUUUGAAAUUUAAAAUUCAAAAUUCAAAAUUUCACAUUUCACAUAUCAAAUUUUAAAUUUUAAAUUUUUUUCGAAAAUUUUAAUUUUAGCUUUUAAUCUUAAAAUUUAGAAAAAUUCUGUGAAAUUGUACAAUGCGUAUCCAAACAGUUUAAAAAUUGAAUCCGUGGAAUUUUUUAGAGUUGCAGGAUUCUCUAUUUUAUCUAGACUGAAACCACAGUUUAUAAAUUCCGUGAAGAUAUUUUACUGUGCAUCCAAACAGGCCCUUAAUUUCAGACCUGUUUGGUUCUUUUUUUUUUUUCUUUUUUUUAAGAGAUAGGUAGCACGUUACUUGCUUCGUUUAUUUUAUUUAGAAAUAAAUUUAGUUAAAAAUGUGAAUUAAUUAGGAUUCGAAUUUGAAACUUCGGGUAAUAACUACCAAGCUAUUUACCACUUGUUUGGUUCUGCUUCUGCUUUUAAGUAUACUUGUCGGGCCGUGCUACGUGAAUAGAUAUUGACAGCUUUUGUGUGGACAGAUGUAGGUCAGCUAACUGAUGGGCAUCUCGAAACACCGAUCGAUUGGGUGCCGGGAGCGCCGAACAUGAGACUACGAGACUUCCCGAGCUUCAUUCGAACGCAGGACCCCGACGACUUCAUGGUUUACUUCGUCCUACACGAGACGGAGCGCACCCCCAUGGCGUCUGCUGUCCUCCUCAACACGUUCGAUGAUUUCGAGCGCCCGGUGCUCGAAGCCAUGGCGGCGAUCCUGCCACCCAUCUACACCAUCGGCCCCCUCCCCCUCCUCGCUCGCCGCAUCCCCCACGGUCCACUCAGCUCCGUGGGCUCCAGCCUGUGGAAGGAGGAGCCCGCUUGCUUACAAUGGUUGGAAAACAAAAGGCCCGGGUCCGUUGUCUACGUGAACUUCGGUAGCGUAACGGUCAUGACGAACCAGCAACUGAUAGAGUUCGCGUGGGGGCUCGCGAAUAGCAAGUACGAGUUUCUGUGGAUCAUCAGGCCCGACCUUGUUAAGGGCGACACCGCGGUGCUCCCGCCGGAGUUUGUAGAGGGGAUGAAGGAGAGGGGGCUCAUGGCGAGCUGGUGCCCGCAGGAGGAAGUGCUUCGCCACCCCGCGGUGGGCGCGUUCCUGACGCACAGCGGGUGGAACUCAACGCUGGAGAGCGUGUGCGGUGGUGUGCCGAUGCUGAGCUGGCCCUUCUUCGCAGAGCAGCAGACCAACUGCAGGUACUGCAAAACAAUCGUCUUACUCUAAAAUCUUUAAAUUUUUUUUAAAAAAAUUCAUAUGAAUUGAUUUUAAUUAAUCUUUCAUGUUCCGCAGGUACACGUGCGCGGAGUGGGGGAUCGGGAUGGAGAUUGAUGGUGAUGUGAAGAGAAAGGAGGUGGAGGGGUUGAUAAGAGAGAUCAUGGGAGGGGAGAAGGGGAAGGAGAUGAAGAGGAGGGCCAUGGAGUGGAAGGACAUGGCGGCGAAGGCGGCGCAGGAGGGUGGCCCCUCUUUUGCAAAUUUCGACAAGUUGGUUGGCCAAGUGCUGCUUUCCAAGAAAGAUGUUGUCUACGAUAGCAAGUUAAAUUAUUACAGUUAGGUAGGACCUCGGUCGAAGUCUGGUCUUAGAUAUAUAGCAAGUUAAAUUAUUCCAGUUCAAAGUGAGCUGCAAAUCUAGUGUUGUCCUUUGGUAAUUCGAAAUGCUUGACUAAAUAAAUUGCUUUUGCUUGUAACUUUGAGAAUUAUGCCAAAUGCAACUCGUGUAUGUAGAUGUGCAUGGAGCUUUACAAAUACGUUAUAAAAUUAUAAUCAAAACAGAACUUGAGAUGGAAGAAUCAAGAUGAUAGUGUUGAAAAUAAUAGUCUAAGAUUUUGAAAAAUAACAAUCAUAUCGACAUUAUUUUAUUAUACCAAACGUCUAGUCUUACUUUAUGUUUUCACCUCCUGAGGUCAGGGAUUUGAUCCGUACCUUAAUCCAAUUUAUACGUACGAGUAAGGGCGUUAAAUAUAUGUUCCCGAAUCCAUACUCGAUUCGAUGGAUCUUUUGGGUAACAAUUCUCUAUCAUAAAACAAAAACUAUAAUUCAGGAUUUUGUGCUUAUGCUAAUUAAGCUGCUCAAGAAAGCUAGGUUACGAAUAUGAGAAAAACUACUAAAAGAAACCAAGGAAACGGUAAACUUUGACAAUCAAAUAUCAUCAAUUCUGGAAACUUCCUUGCAUAGAAGCAAAUAGUUCUACACCUCAAUGACUAUUCAACAAAAAUAGGCAAAAAAAUGUCAUCAACAUCAGUAUUCAAUUAUUGUACAUCAUAUAAUUGUAAACUUAAAUUUGACACGUUUUAUAAAUUUAGCGUUACACUUAACAGUUGUACAAUGGACACGGUCAAUGGAGAUGCCUUUGAGCAAGAGAAAUUCAAAAAAAGAAAGAAAGAAAUUAAAGAAUAAAAAGCAAUUAAGAAAAAAAAAUAUGUUUUAUCCGUAAAUUAGUGUGUGUAACUGUAUAUCUUAGGGCCCUUCUAUCAUAGGCAAUAGGAUCUUCUCGCAAUUAAGUCACUUAUUAAGAUUUAAUCACCCUACAAUACUUGAGGAUCAUUAAUGAAAAUAUGUGAUUAAUGAAGGUGAUUGUUUAAAAAAUAGGUCGUCCAGAAGCCUUCAAGUAUCAGGAUUAUUCUCGACGUUUGCUCCAGCUGUAGAGGGAGAUUGAGAGGCUUGUGAAUCUGAUGCACAAACAUGAUGAACGGAGUUAAUAAUGAGGAUAAUUUUGCGAAUAUAAAUUCUAAAACAGUGUUUUUUUUUAAAAAAAAAGAGCUAAAACAGGAUAUUUUCUGUUAGUUAAGUACAUUACGCAAACACAUAUCAUUCACAUCUUCUGUAUUUUCCCCCUUUAUUCAACAAUAAAAUCAAUCACAUUUUCAUAUUGGUGUGGACCUGCACUUUAGAGUUUCGACAAAAAUAUUGUUUGAAUAAAAUAAUUUAAAAAGUAAUUAAUGGCUUUUGUAUCAAGAUCAAUUCUAAGCUUGUUGUAGAAACAUGCAAAAGCUUUAAUACCUUUUAUUUUGUAACAUAUAGUAAUUUUAGCUUCACGUCAUGCCUGAACGUUAUCUUGUGAAGUAGAGAGAAGCAUGAUUAUGGAUCUUCUAUUUAAAGAAAUAAUAAUAAUAAUAAUAAAAAAGAGCACCAAGUAUUUUUUUCAAACAAACACAUAAAAAUGAGGGAUCAAGCCCAUAGCUUCUCGAGUCGUAUAAAAUAUUGAGGUUCAAAACAGGUCUUAAUUAAGAUGAUAGGUCAAUCGGAAACUUAAAAACAAAGACAAAUAUAUAUAUAUAUAUAUAUAUAUAUAUAUAUAUAUAUAUAUAGAGAGAGAGAGAGAGAGAGAGAGAGAGAGAGAGAGAGAGAGAGAGAACUAGGCUAGAAUACUAUCAAUAGCACCAAGUUGUUUGUGCUUAUUAGUUUUUUAGCCUUUGAUUCAGAAAUGUGCGUUAGAAUGAUAUGGGCCUCUAGGUUGAGUGGGUGAUUGUUGAAUAGUAUAAUCUAACGGAUGAUAAUAAUCAAGGAGAGUUAAUCUAACGUUGAAAACUUGAUAGCACCAAUGUUUGGUGCUAUCGAUAGCAUAGCAGCCGGACUCUAUAUAUAUAUAUAUAUAUAUAUAUAUUAUAUAUAUUUAAAGUAAUUUGUUUUAAAAUAAUUUAAAAUGCCAUCAUUAUAUAGUUGCAUAGAUUUUUUUUUUUUUUUUUUUUUUAAAGAGGGAUGGUGCUCAAAGUUUUUUUUUUCUUUUUAAGAAUUAAAUAACGAGCUACCUUUUCAUUCAUUAUAGAAAUGAAUUAGACUUACAUAAUGAAAGCAACGGAGUCCAAAGUGGAAGUGAAGUACAGUUGUAUUGGCAUUUUGCCGUGCACGUGGUGGAAGUUGGAGUUGGAAAUAUGCGGCGGCGAAAAGGAGCGCUCGAAGGACCCAUCCAUCUGGGCCGUCGGAUAUGGGUGUACGGGCACGCAGUCCACCGAGUGGGGAAUGAAAACUACCCCGUGGACUCGCCACGUAUGUGUAAGGGAAUGGUUGUGGACCGAGAGUCGGUGGUGAACCCGGUCCAUAGACCCCCAAGAUCUGCUGAUAAUAUUGCUGGUUAAUUUGCGGACCAGUGUAGAUCAGAGCCUGCUCCAUAAAUGCUAGUUAAAUGUAACUUCAUAAAUUCUCGUCAAAUAAUUAACAUACGUAAUUUAAUGUAAAAUUAUAUCUUAUAAUUCUCCAAGAAAAAAUGAGAUCCGCAUUUUUUUUAUUAUUUUCAAAAAUAAAAAUCAGCAACAAAUAUAAGAGGAUUACAUUGAGUUUAGAUGAACAAAGGCACUUACAUGGUGAUAAGCAUAAUCAGUUGGAUAGGUAGGAUACCUGCAAAGUGGACACAUUUAUUAGUGAACGAGAUAUGAGAUAAAAGCAGGUGUUUCCCUGCGCUUUGUGUGUUGAUUUUGCAGCACGCCACAGAUCGCUGCUGUUUGGAAUUUAACGGUUGUGCGCGGAGUUUGCAAAAUUCUACGAUUUUAAGAAAGCUUUGAGAGCUUUUUUUCGCAUAAGCUUGCGAUGCGGUCGCAAGGCCAAACAAGGCCGAAGAAGCAUACGAACUCAUUAAUUUGUGUUGUUAUUAAGGCCCACUGCAGCUUAAGAGUUGCAUUAUCGGUUUUCGAAAUUCGUAGCCCAAAUUUUAGGACACACAGAAUUAGAUAUCAUUCUGAUGCAAUCCAAUUCUUCUAGCUGUUGAUAGGAGCCGUACUUUUCUCUUCUUCUUUUUUUUCUGAAUAAUGCGAGACUGCUAGAUCCAUACUAUGUGAUUUUAGAAGUAAUUGAAGGACUCGUACCGUUAAAUGAUUGACAUUUUAAAUAAAUAUCAGAUCACCCCUCAAUUCUACGAGGUCAUGGAUCCAAUUCUCAAUUGUGAAAAACCGAAUUGAUUAAAAUCCUAUCUCUUACAUUUUACAUGUGAACAUAGGUACUUAUUAUAUCAUAUCAUAGGAGGUAGUAUACUAUCCGCUUCGUUUAUUUCAUUUAGAAAUAAACUUCGCUAGAAAUGUGAAUCAACUAGAAUUCGAACUUGGGUCUCAAGUACCAACCACCAAGCCCUUUUGCCACUUGUGCCAGGAACAGUCGGUGAAAUAGAAAAAUACUAAUAUGUUAUAAACAGGGGUUAAAGGUUGUUGGCAUGGCAUUAAUUCUAAAGCAAAAGAGAACCAAACAAUGAUGAAGAAAUAAAUAUUAGUAACCAGUUAAUUAAGGAAAAACACUCACCCCAUAUUCGGAGGGUAUAUUAGUGGGGGAAGAGGCAUUUGGGCUGGUACUCUGUUAAAUCGUGGCCCUGUUGAGCCCUCAAAAACGCCCCCACUUUGAUUCAUUCCUACACACAGCAAAAAUAUAUUGGAAAUGAGAACAGUAAAAAAAAAAGAAAAAAAGAACAAAACAAAACAAAACAAAAACGAAAGUAAAUUACAUUCCAUAAAUGGCAUGUUACUUAUGCCUAGGAUCACUUCGAUUUGAUACUGUGACUAAUGAAAAAUAGCCUUAGGCACGAAGCACAUCAAAAGAUAAUAUCUUAAAAGAUAUCUACAACCAAAAAGGGCAUUUUGCAGAGUAUCUUGCAGUAAAGCGAUACGAACGAUGUAGAAAAAAAUAAUAAUUAUUCUUAUUCUUGUGGAUAAGGAUCAUUGAUGGUCCUUGAACUAAUCAUCCUUCACCCUUCUAUUGUGGCAUUCAUGUCAUUUUCGUGGGGACCCACACUACAUUACACAAAUGGAGGUGCACGUAAACAUCAACCAUUAGAUGAGCCUCAUAUUUCCCUUUUAAUGUUACUACAAGGCCCAAAUCAUAUGGAUGUGAUAUGGGUCACAGGUCAUCAAAUUUAGCUACAUAAUAAUAAUAAUUAUUGGCUUUACUACCAAUACUACUUUAUUUAUUUAUUUAUUUUUAAAGCCAUUUUGCACUUACCUAAUCAAACUAACUUGUCCUAGAACUUGACUGUGACCCGUUCAUUGUGCCCAGAACAUUCUAAGCAAGUCACCCACCGUCUCAGUGCAUGUGACAAUUUUUAAUAAUUACUAUUCUAAAUGCAAACUCUAAUUAUCUUAUAUUUUUAAUUAAGUUUAUAUAUAUAAAAAAAAUCAACGAAACAGAUAAUAUGUUUUUUCUCACUAGGAAAAAGAAAAGAAAACACUAGAACAACUUCUUUUUUUUUUCCCCUAUAUUUCAGGUAAGCAAAUUAAGCCCUUUUUUUUUAGCAUAAGAAAAUUUAAAAACUAAUCCAUUUUUUUUUAAAAAAAAAAAGUAAAAAAAUAGUCAAUUGAGAAUGCAUCUUAGGCCAGGCUGGCAAAGCUUUAGUGGCCCACCACCCAAGCCUUGCUCCGAUGCGCUGGCACCCAACGUUUCUACCGUGUCUUUGUGGGCCCCAUCGUUGAUUGGGUCCCUCCAAUGGCCAUUGGCCAAUUAGGUUGAGCUUUGUGAUCACACACACAAUGCAAUUAAUCCUCUAAACAUUAGAUAAUCACUAGCAAUAAUAAUAUAAUAAUCAUUAUAUUAGGACCGCCCCACCUGGUGGAAGAGGAGGAGGAGGAGGAGGAGGAGGAGCAGCAGGCCGCGGCCGGCGCUGCGCGGCGAUGUUGCAGUUAGCUCGCCUGCUGCCGAUCAUCGGGUUCGGCUCCGCCACGGCCCUGCUCGCAGAAUCCGGCUCGCGAAACGUGACCUGUGUCCAAUUCACAUAUUUAUAAGCUAAUCCGAAUAUCAUCGAAACAAUAUGUUACCAAAUAAAAUUAAAAAGGGCAUGAGAAGAUUAACGCGAUCUUUUAACUUAAUGAUCAUGAUCGUGAUCAAGUGGAGUGAGAAGAGAGAGAGAGAGAGAGAGAAUUGAUGAGCUUACAAAGCCGUAGCCCUUGGAUCGGCCGGUGCUGCGGUCGGCGAUGACGACGGCCUCGAGGAUGUCGCCGAACUGCGCGAAGUGGCGGUGCAGCUCGGCGCUGGUGAUCUCCCACGCCAGGCCCCCGACGAACACCUUCGUCCGCGUCGUGUCGCCGAACCUCGACCGGAAUUGCGGGGCGGCCGAGGGAGACGACGACGACGACGACGACGAAGCCAUGCGAUCGGAACACCAACUACGUACGGCUAAAAUCUAAAAUCACAAGAUGAACAACAACAACAACAACAACAACAAGAACAAGGACAAGGACAAGAAUAGAAGAGAGAGGUAGAGAGAGAGAGAGGGGGAUGGGUAUAUAUGUAUUAUUGGGUUCUACGCAUCAUCAAAAGGAGAGAUGGGUCUUCGCUGAAUUGUCGUAUUAUUAUCUUCCUACGGAUUCGUUUCUCUUCCUCUUCUUUGGUGGUCUCUGAUUCCAUGUCCUGGGCUGAUCUUUUUGGGGCUAUAGGUUCUGUGGAAAAAGGGGAGAAACUAAUAAGAGAAUAAUAAAGAGAGAUCGAGAAGGGGGGGAUUUAUUGUUAAUAAUAAAAAUAAGGAGAGGAAUAUUGAACGGGUGCGAAGGAGUUAAUUCCUCGCUGGAUGGAGGAUAUGAAUGUCAAAUGACAGCUCUGCGCGAGCCCCCACUAUUGUUCUCCUCCUCCUCCUAGCCUGCUAAACCUCCCUCCCUUUUAAUAAUUUCUCGCUCCUAAAUAGAUCGCUUUUAACACAAGUGAUAAAAAAUUUGAUAGUUUAUAUCGAAAAUUUCAAAUUUGAAUCAUAAUUAAUUUAUAUUUUAAAUUAAAUUUAUUUCUAAAAAAAAUAAACGAAAUGAAUAAUAUGCUAUCUAUUUCUCAGAAGAAAAAAUAAAUAAAUAAAACAUGACGGUCACAUUACUGACAUGAUAUUUUCGGUCAAUAGAUAUACACUCUGACGAUUAUCCAUUCCAUCAUGACUAUUUAAAAAAUAAUUUUGUUGUAAUUUUAUUUCAAAAUAAGAUAUAUGAUUGAGUGAUUAUAGAUGACUUCCUCACUUGAUUUUGAGAAUAAAUGAAUAAUUUUAGUGCGCUCUCUCUCUCUAUAUAUAUUUCCAUUCCGGUCCGUUUGCACCUUCUUUGGCAUCCUAUUUAUUUUGUAUUUGUUUACAUAAAAUUUUGUUUAUCAAAAUAUUACAGGACGGGAUGGUAUAUUAAGUGCAAUUGUUUCAUCCGAAGUAUUUAAUUGACAAUAAAAGUAAAAAUUUAAGAGUUUUUUUUUUGUCAAUGUUUUUUUAAAUAAGUUAUUAUCUAUUACUUAAUUGGAUGAAUUGUAAACUAUUCAAACAAACAUGCUUUUCUUUUUAGAAUUAGUGCUUAGAAAAGUGUAAGUGUUUAAAAAAUGUGAUUGUUUUAAAAAAAAAAUGCGAGACCAAAACAGGGCUUUUUUUUUUUAAAACAAUAUAUAUUAACUGAUACAAUAUAACUUUAGAUAACAAAAAAAGAAAGUUGAUAAAAAAUAUAUGCGCCUCUCUAGGAUAAGAGAGAAUCAGAGAGAGAGAGACCACGACGAACGUAAUUUUCUCUCACUUUAUGCCAAAAUUAUAUAGAUUUAAGCAUUUUAGGAUUUUAUUCUAGAAUUACAUAAAUUAAGCUUAUUUUGUUGUAUUUAAUAUUUGUACAAAGGGUGUUUAAACAACUCUUAUAGACAAAAAGAGAAAGAAAGAUGUAUAAGUAAUUCAAUAACUCCAUAUUAAACAGAAGUUUCCAACUUUAAUAAAUCUCUGUGCAAUUCUUUUUACACAUCAUAAGAUAUAAUUACUCAAUCAUGAUCAGCAAAUCAGCAAAUUUUGAAAUAUGUCGUAAUAAAGUCUAGUUCCGAACUAUUGUCGUCGAAUUUUGGAGCAUACGAUGGACAAAAUAAAUGAUUUUAAUUAUUUUGACGCAGACAACAAUGAUUCUAAAAAUUUUAUCUCAUUCCAAUAAAAUAUUGACACUCAAAACCAAAAAGUAUUCUUAACUAAUAAGAAAGAGCAGGGACAAAGAUGUUUUCGAUAAGUAUCGAUGCAAUCACAAAGUUAUCCACAUCGGAUUAAAUUAGGAUAUGACUCAUCCACUCCGGACAAAAAUUUUGUGUACGGGCGCCCAACAUCACCGCCCUUUUCCAUCGUCGGCUUUUUCUUCUCUCUCUCAAAAAUUGGAGCCCAUAAUUUUAUUUUUAUUAUUUUUUGGAGGGUCGCGAUGGGCGCAGCAUACCACGCGGCUCCUAUCGGCAUCAUUCCCAAACAAAUUAUCUGAGGAUGAUGCCCACAAAAUUUUUAUCCAUCCACUCCUAUCAGAGUUUGGUGACUUGCGAAUGUGGGACCCGCUUGUAUUUUAUACAUGGAUAUAACACAUAUUUAUAAAUCUCUUACAAAGUCCAAUAUUAAUUCAUUUGUUUUCUUUUUUUUUGUGUUAAUUACAUGUAGUUCUUUAUAACCAUAUCGAAUAGCAAAUAUAUUCCCACAAACUUUAAUUUUUCAUAUUUAUUUCUACAAAACUCUUAAUAUUUUUAAAUAUAUUCUAACUAUUAGAAUCCGUUAAAAAAAUAUAGUUAAUCAAUAGAUAAAAUUAUUAACUCUGAUUAAUAAAUGAGAUAAAUUGAUAUUUUUAUCCCUCUUAUAUUAUUUGAGAUGGUAGAAAUGAAGAAAAUAACUGUUAAAAUUUUUUGAAAGAAUAUUUCUGCAUAAUUUUAACAGUUGAAAUUUUUUUAAGAACAUAUUUGUGACGGAAAAACUAUUAUUUUACUUAUUAAUUUUCUGUUAAAAAAAAAACGAAACUCUAAUAGUAACAAAUCAAAAAUGCAAAUAUAAAUAUUAUUUGACUUUUGUAGAAAUAAAUAUAAAAAAUUAAACUUUGUAUAUUAUAUUUGUUAUUUAAUAUAUUUCUGUGUGAAAUUAAUUUUUAUUUUUUUUCACUACAUUUCAAAAAGGUUGUAUUAAUUCUUGGAUCACGAGUGUGAGCUGUACUACUAAAUGGUCUUUUCCGCACCUCUUCCUUAUAAAUUCCACUGUAAUGGUACCAUAUUUCUUUUCCCACAAGGAACUCCUAAGAAUAGUUAAAGGACCACUUGAUUCAACAUAAAAUCAUGGAAAUUAACUUUUGAUGAGAAAACAUUUUUGACAAUUUUUUUUUAUGUUCUAUAGUGUUCAGUUUAAUACAAAAAAAAAAUUUAUAUCAAUAUUUAUUUGGUUGAAAAAAAAAACUAUAUUUAUUUAGUUCGGUGGACAAAAAUAAAUGAAAAAAAUUUUACAUUGUUUAAAUUUUCAUUUUUCACGAAAAAAUGGCGGAAAACAAAAACUAUAAUUUUAUUUUCAAAUCUGUAAAAAUACUUAAAAUAUUUUUUACAUCGAAUCAAACAAACAAAAAAAAUAUUGUUCAUACUGAAAAUAACUGUUUGAUUCGUUUAUGCAAAACCAAACGCCCCAUAAUGCUGCGCAUGAAAUAACUUUUAGUGUGUGCAACAAUAUGCGUUUGAAUGUUACUCGUUAAAUCCAAGGUUAUUUAUUGGGGGAAUUUGUAGACCAUGGUGUCACGGACAAAAUAUUUUCCGUUGAUUUCUCCUUGACAGUGGCCCAAAUCUGCUAGCGAGUUCGGGUUGGUAACGGGUCGAAUCAGGUUGUCAAUACCCAAACCCAACCUGCUGUGGGAAACUCAAGGAUUAUGAAACUCACGGGAGUUAUGGGUGACUCUUGAGCUUUUUGUCAUUAUGAGGGCUCAUUACUAUGAAAUAGUGGGUGAGUUAAUAUAUGUCCUAAUGAGAGAGUUAGUGUGUCUCUAGGUUCAUUGUAUCUAGGAGUUUAUAAGUAGUGGGGUUUGGUUAAGGUCAAAACACACAAGAGAGAGUGUGUGUAUGUGUGGGUUGUAAUCUCUUUUCUAAGUAGUGUAGUACUUAGUUAUUGAGUGAACUUCUGCCUCUCUCUCUUUGUCAUUCCCUUUGCAUACUUAGUCGUAGGACGCGGAUGUCCGAACUAGCAACAAGGACGAAGGCUUGCCCAUCUUCGAGCAGGAAGGCGGGCGCCGCACGGACUUUGCGAACAGAACCGCUAAGCCAGUGACAGUUGGUAUCAAAGCCGGUUCGAGAAGGAACCAUGUCUUUGUCGGAAGCUGUCGUUGUUGACAUUGUGCCCGAGCGGGAGCGAACCGAGGGCGAUCGAGGUGAACCAUCAAAGACGAGUAAGGCCAAAGGUGGGGGAGAGCACCGCGAUCCAGGGGACGCAAAAGAGCGCAACGAGAGUUCAACUCUGACAGCCCUGCAGCUUUACGAGGAGGUGAAGCGCGGGAAGGCUGGGGACCUCGAGGAGGAGGGCCUGAGCGGCGGCGAGACUAUCGAGUCUCAUACGGCGCUGGAGUGGCCAGCGUCUAAGCAAAGUGCAAGUCAUUCUGCUAAGGAGCCUGCGAGGACCAAAAGGCGUUCUGCAGCUUGGCGGAGUACGCGUGCGUGUCGCGGAGGACAUGCACACUCGGGGCAUUCUGCAGCUUGGCAGAGUGCGCGUGCGUGUCGCGGAGGACAUGCACAUCCGGCAAACACUUCGCACAGCAGGCUCGCUGGUGUACUUGCUCAGAGGGGCAAGACACUAAGUGCUGGUGCGGGGAAAAAUGCGGACAUUGGGAGCAAGGCACAGGGACGAUCGAGCGCGAAGGCACGACGGACCACGCGAAAGGCUAUGCGGACUAGGAGCGACUCGGCGCGCGACGAGGGCGUCUACGCGUUAGGUGGGGGAGAAUGUCACAGACAAAAUAUUUUCCGUUGAUUUCUCCUUAACAGUGGCCCAAAUCUGCUAGCGAGUUCGGGUUGGUAACGGGUCGAAUCAGGUUGUCAAUACCCAAACCCAACCUGCUGUGGGAAACUCAAGAGUUAUGAAACUCACGGGAGUUAUAGGUGACUCUUGAGCUUUUGGUCAUUAUGAGGGCUUAUUAUUAUGAAAUAGUGGGUGAAUUAAUAUGUGUCCUAAUAAGAGAGUUAGUGUGUCUCUAGGUUCAUUGUAUCUAGAAGCUUAUAAGUAGUGGGGUUUGGUUAAAGUCAAAACACACAAGAGAGAGUGUGUGUAUGUGUGGGUUGUAAUCUCUUUUCUAAGUAGUGUAGUACUUAGUUUUUGAGUGAACUUCUGCCUCUCUCUCUCUUUGUCAUUCCCUUUGCAUACUUAGUCGUAGGACGCGAAGGCCCGGACUAGCAAUAAGGACGAAGGCUUGCCCAUCUUCGAGCAGGAAGGCGGGCGCCGCACGGACUUUGCGAACAGAAUCGCUAAGCCCGUGACAACGGGCUCAGUAAAUUUGAUGGGAUUUUUGGGAUUAGCCUUUUCUUUAGGUCAUAUUCAUCUUGGAUAUUAGAGUAUUUCUUGUAUUCUUAAUUAAUAUUUUUUUUCUUAUUAAUUUACUAUUAUAUUUAUAUGUAUAUUUUGAAUUUUAAUGUCCCUAUUAGUCUAUUUAAGUACGAGAAUUGUUGAUUGGUAACUCAGAAUAUCCAAAAAUGGGUCAUUGGUUCAAUUUUUUUUUUUUUUAAAAAAAGAAAAGAAAAGAAGAAAAAGGUUUCUGGGCUCAAUUCUUUCUAAAAUUAAUUGUAUGGUUCCCAAUUUGGGUCAAGGCGAAUGUUCUUGGGCCUUUAAAAGUGGAGUACCCAUAUAAUGGGCCUCCAAAGGAUUCGGCCCAUUUAUAUGCUUGUCAACGUCUCGUACCCGGGCCCGGGGCGAAACCAAAAGCGCAUCCAAAAAGUUAGUAACAGCUCGAAAUGUCAAAAUUAACCCUCACAUUACCAUCUCAAACUCGCCUUAACAAUGCCAGUUACCAUGUCUAAUUUCGUCCAAACAGUUAACCACAGACACCAGUACGCGCUUAUCAUGUUUCCUAAUAAUCCCCACUUGUUCCCCUCGUUCUUAUUUCCCGGAUCAGCGAAUAAAAAACUCGUCGAUAAUAAUUAACCAUGGAGGACCCCGAUUCCGAAUCUACCCCUCCUCCCGCCCCUAUCCCUUCUUCUUCCCAAACUACCCGGCCGCCCCCCCUCGUCGUCGUCCCUCCGCCUCGCCCGCGAGCUGGACGUGGAGGCCCUCAUCGCCGCGGCCGUGGGCUUCCCCGUGGACUCCCUCGCGGAGGAGGAGAUCGAGGCGUCCGUCGUCCCCGCCCUGGGCGGCGCCGCCCAGUCGAACUACAUCGUGGUCCGCAACCACAUCGUCGCGCGGUGGCGGUCCAACCCCUCCGCGUGGGUCACCGAGUCGCAGGCGCUCGAGUCCAUCCGCGCCGAGCACCGCGCCCUCGUCGCCGCCGCCUACGCCUUCCUCCUCGACCACGCCUACAUCAACUUCGGCCUCGCCCCCGCCGUCCUCUCCGCCCCGCCCCGCCGCGCCCCCUCGCUCCCGCCCCCCUCCGUCCUCGUCGUCGGCGCCGGCCUCGCCGGCCUGGCCGCGGCGCGCCACCUCCUCUCGCUCGGCUUCAAGGUCGCCGUCCUGGAGGGCCGCCGCCGCCCCGGGGGCCGCGUAUUCACCAAGCGGAUGGCCUCGUCCGCCGCCGAGUACCCCGACGUCGCCGCCGCCGCCGACCUCGGGGGCAGCGUGCUCACCGGGAUCAACGGCAACCCCUUGGGCGUGCUCGCGCGGCAGCUCGGGUUCCCCCUCCACAAGGUGCGCGACAAGUGCCCCCUCUACCUCCCCGACGGGCGCCCCGUCGACCCCGUCGUGGACUCCCGCAUCGAGGCCGCGUUCAACGAGCUCCUCGACAAGGUGUGCCGCCUCCGCCAAGCCGUCGCCGACGAGCUCCGGUCCGUCGACGCCUCCCUCGGCGACGCCCUCGAGGCCUUCCGCGCCGCCUACGGCGUCGCCGCCUCCCGCGAGGAGCGGAUGCUCCUGGACUGGCACCUCGCGAACCUGGAGUACGCCAACGCCGCCCUCCUCUCCGACCUCUCCAUGGCCUUCUGGGACCAGGACGACCCCUACGAGAUGGGCGGCGACCACUGCUUCAUCCCCGGCGGCAACGCCCGCUUCGUCCGCGCCCUCGCCCAGGACGUGCCCGUCUUCUACGGCCGCACCGUCACCAGAGUCCGCUACGCCGGCGACGGCGUCCUGCUGCAGGCCGGCCGCCAGCUCUUCCGCGCCGACAUGGCCCUCUGCACCGUCCCCCUCGGCGUCCUCAAGAAGGGCCGCAUCCACUUCUCCCCGCCGCUCCCUCCCCGAAAGCAGGCCGCCAUCCAGAGGCUCGGCUUCGGCCUCCUCAACAAGGUCGCCAUACUCUUCCCUUACGAUUUCUGGGACGGGAGCGUCGACACCUUCGGCCACCUCACGGACGACCCUAGCCAACGCGGCGAAUUCUUCCUCUUCUACAGCUACGCCUCCGUCUCCGGCGGCCCGCUCCUCGUCGCGCUGGUCGCCGGGGAGUCCGCCAUCCGCUUCGAGACCACUCCGCCCAUGGACAACGUCGACAAAGUGCUCCGAGUUCUCAGGAGAAUUUUCUCCCCCAAGGGAAUUGAAAUCCCCAAGCCACUCCAAGCUAUAUGCACUAGAUGGGGAACCGACAGAUUUGCCUACGGAUCGUAUUCGUACGUGGCCGUCGGGUCCUCGGGCGACGACUAUGACAUCUUGGCCGAGAGCGCGGGCGACGGACGGCUCUUCUUCGCAGGGGAGGCGACCAACAGGCGGUACCCUGCGACCAUGCACGGAGCCCUACUCAGCGGGUUUAGAGAGGCAGCUAAUAUCGCAAGGGCCGCGAGGAGGCGGGCCACGGGGUCGUCGGUAGCUGAGGGAACGUGUGUUAAGGACGACGUUAUGGAUUUGGAUGACCUCUUUCGAACUCCCGAUCUCUCUUUCGGCGCCUUCACGGUUCUCCACGAUCCUUCCUCUCCCGGCCCGGAUUCGACUUCCUUAUUGAGGGUGGGGAUAGGGGAGAGGAAGUUGGGGUCGGGUUCUCUUUUCCUUUAUGGGUUGAUUUCGAGGAAGCAUGCGGAGGAGUUGGCGGGCGCCGACGGAGAUGAUCGGCGGCUGAGCAUGUUGUACCGCAACUACGGGACGAAAUUAGCCGGGAGGAACGGUUUGGGUAGUCCAGGAGAGAGUCUUAUAGCACGUAUAAAAGCCACUAGGAGCGAUAGCAGCAAGUCGAGAACUGCGAAUGGAACUCAUAAUUCAUAGGAGAUUCAGUCCAAUUCUCAAUCAGAUUUAUUGAUUCAUUUGACUUGGUUUAAUGUUAUUGCUCGUGUAGGCAGGGGAUAGUUUCGUAAGUUCUGCUUGAUGAAGUAGGGGAAGUGACUGAAGAUGCGCUCGUUCACGGCAUAUCUGCCAUCCAUUCUUUGCUGCCUUUUUUAGUUGGGUAUUCGUCUAACCCUGGUGCAAUUGUCUUUCUUUAUAACAGUUUUCUGAUUCUGUAGAGUAUAGGUAAUCUCCUAAGGAGGUUUGACAUCUUACAAGACAUCUCUGUGAAAAUAAUUUAUAAACCUGAGAUUCAUCGGUCUAGAUAUUUAAGUAGGCUAAAUUAGCUAAUUAAGCUGAUUUGACUUUAGGAACUUGAGUUCUGAUGCAAGAAAUUUCGAGCAAAAUGUUAGUCAUUCUUUAGCAGAUAUUUUGUGUGAUAUUCUGGAAUUCAGUAAUUGCGUAGUGUGCCAUGCAUGUACAACUACCAACUGUGUUACUGCUGCUCUGUGGUUUUAUCGACCUAGUGAAAUGCAACUUAAAAUUUACAAAAGAAAUUAAUGUACUACAUGAGUUUUCUAUGGUUAUUUCUUAAAAAAAUAAUUUAUUAUAUGGGUUGUCGGCACCUUGUAUGGAUCUACUGCAGUAGCAAAGUAGAUAAACUGCAUAGCCACUAUUAUCCUGCUUUUAAGUUGCUAAACCCGUGCAGUGGGAAGGUCUCUGUACUGAUGAUGACAAUUGUGGGUGAAUGUUAUUAGCAGCUAAACUUGAAUAUUGUGUUGAAAUUUCCUUACUGUAAAGAAGGCCAGUUUAUAGUGAUCCUAUAUACUAUUCCUUCAUCCACAGAACAAGAUAUCACAAAAUGUAGUAACUUGCUUUAGUAUUCUUGUUCAAAUGAGCUUAUUUCCACAAUUCCUAGCAUCUAGCAUUAGAAUUGUAGUGUUGUAUAUUGCGCUGCUGCUUAUAGAAUUGUGGCAGUUCCAACCAAUAUUUGACCUACUGAGGUUAUUUUUUAGAUGCCUAGUUUUACGUUUCUUACACAUAAAAUUUUGCAUAAAAUUAGUGUUAAAUUAUAUAAGGUAAGACAGUUACAUCACUUGGCACCCAUAAAUGUUGCACAAAUUGCAUUUAUGAUCAUCAUCGCACAGCUGAGACUCAGAUUUUCCAAGUUCAUCCAGUAUCCUUGCUGUGUAGUAUACUAUAGUACUAACAGGAGAUGCUUAUGCUGUAGCAGGUUCAAUUUUCACAGAAAAACUUCCUCUGGCUACACCAGGUAUUUAUGAUGAACCUUUUUAUAGCAUUAUUCAUCGCAGUGAAUAGUUAUUGAUAGCACUCGCUAGCAGAGCAGGUGCCCUUCUCUUCUGUUUACAGAUGUAAGUGCUCUCUUUAUCGUAGAACUUUUAGGGCUUGUUUGGUUCAUCCAUUUUGGGUAUGGAAUGGAAUUCUGUUUGAUCAAAUCCAGUUAAUUUUGUUUGGUUCGCAUGAAUCGGUUUGGAAUUCCUAUUCCGGACUGGAAUGGGAAUGACCCAUUAGCCUUCAACUUGAUUCCGGUAUUCUAGCCCGGAUUGAGAUUUCAUUUCGGAAGCCCACUAAGUUCUCGAAGUCCAUGUGACCAUCUCACCCUCCUUCUCUUCACCCCUAUCUCAUCAAAAAAAAAAAAAAAAAAAUCUAUCCUCUCUCAAAACCCUAUCCCUAACCCACAUCAAUAAAAAUUUUUAAAAAUAAAUUUGAUUUUUUUUUUGAAAAACUUAUUAGAGAAUAGUAUUAUAUAUUUCAUAAAUUUUAAAUAAUAUAAAUUUAUAUUUGAGACUAAAAUUAGUAUUAUAGUAUCCUAUAAUUUUUUUAGUUUAUACGAACCAAAUAAUGAAAUGUGAAUAACUCAUUCAAAUUCUCAAUCCACAAAUAAACCAACCGUCUUGGGGGAGUGGACCAUUCUAAUUACCAUUUCAAUUCAUUUCCAUUCUAUUAUCUAUUCCAAUUCUAUCCUUGAACCAAACAAGCACUUAGUGGCUAUACAUAAAUGCUAGUAAAUUAACAUAACUGGAAAUUUUAUUGGCAGAGUAAGUGUAUUCAACCUAGUCGGUAUCUAUGUUGCAUAGGUACAAAUACAGGAUACAAAUACAAUAUGAUACGGAUACGGUGAUGUAACAAAUUUUGAAAAUUUUAUUAAUACAUACAGGAUACAUUAAUAAAAAAUUUAUUUGUCCUAUAUAUGAUUAUUAUAUACGAUAGUAUACAUUAAAAAAAAAGAAUAUUUGGGUGAUUAGUUAAUGUAAAGGUAACUUUAGUUCAUCAUCCUUCGGAUCUAAGCUACUUGAGAAUGAUUUCGUCCUCAAUUAGUGUUGAUAUAACUCUACCCCCUAUCUCACAGAUAUCUUUCACGUAUCUGUCAAAAAAUGUCAUAUGGAGUAUCUGACACAUAUCGGAUGUGUAUAGUGCAAGUAUUGGUAUCUGACACAUAUCUGAAAUGGAUAUGGCAGGUAAAGUAUCUAUGCAUCAUAGUAAGCAUUCUUCGACUAGAUUUGAUUAGACUAAAGGUACACAAUCUAUUGAUAAUAAUAUCUACUUUGUUAGUAUCGCUUUCCCAGGUAUUCCACUGCUCUCAAUGUUCUGUGAGCUUUUCACUGUGGCCCAACUCUUUGUUUAUGUUUUUUCUAAUGCAAAGUGCUACAAUUGUUCAUGUCACGAGCUCAGUGAAUCAGUGUGGGGUGCCUCAAUCCAAGUGCCCCUGCCAAUUCAGCAAGGCUCAGGAAAAGAAGACCUUUCCUUUCUAUAAUUCGUAGGCAAUGAACUCUGCUUGAAUGGAAUCUAAUGCAUGUAGAUGUUCUACUGGUCUCCAAUUUGGUGAAAUUUUUUUCGUCAUUUUAGUAAGAUUGAUGAAGUUUGGGAAGAUAACACAAAUGUUACUGUUAUCAGUUCCCAAGAAUGUUGCCCUUAGAGCUUGUUGAUGCUUCAGCGACUGUAAUAUAAAGAGAUCUGAUUGGUUUAUAUGCACAUCUUAAAGUGCUACAUGAAUUUGUUGACAUAUCUAAUUUUUUUCUUGGGGAUCUAAAGCAUUUUCCUGUAAAAUCAGGAGUCCUGUCUCUUCUGGUGACUACAAACAGCUUUACCUUGUUUAUGUCAAGGAAUUAUUCUGCAAAUGCUCUUCUCUACAUUAAGGUGAAGAUCCUUGCAAUACUCUAUAUAUAUAUAUAAAAAAAAAAAAUAGUUUGUAAGAGAAUUAUUUGUUAUACAAUAGAAAACGAUUCCCUAAUUAUCUUAACACUAUCAUUCUUGGGGAAGGAGAUGAGAAUAUGUAGUUGUACAUUUUUUGUCUAAUUAACAAGGAUGGUGAACCAACAAUCUGGUAAACAUAUGGAUCGUCCUUAAAACAGAGAGUAAAGAAUUUGAUGGUUCAUACAAUAUAUUUCAAAUUCAGAAUUUAAUUAUUUUAUAUCUUCAAUCAAAUUUAUUUUUAAACUCAUCUUUUUCUUAAAAUGAAAAAAAAAACUAUCUUGUAAACAUGGCCACAUGGGUCAAAAAAAUGUCCAUGCCCACUUGGCGUUCGACAAAAGUGAAAAUCUAGUUCACUGUUUUGAAGUUGACGAAGAUCCCAAUGUCAAAGACCAGCUGUAAUGAUUUGUCCCCAUCAUUAAUCUCAUUGCAUGGGCUCCUCUUAAGCAUCUUUUUGCGUACUUUAAUUAUCCACUACUACAAACUUAUUUAAGCAACUAAUUAAUGUCAAAUGAGGCCCCACCUAGGGGUGUCUAUGAGCUGAACAUAAGUGAGCUAAAAUAAGCUCAUACAAGAGCCGAAUACGAGUUAACUCAUUAGAAUAUCGAGAUAAAAAAUUCAGCUCGUGUUUGGCUCACUUAUUAAUGAGUCGAACACGAGCUACCUCAUGAAUAACAAGUUAAAAGAAUUAUAAAGAAUACGUAUAGAAAAUAAAUUCAUGAGAUUUUAUUUAUUUGGCUUUAAUCUAAUAGUUGAAACUUUAUAUAUAAAUAAAUUUUUUUUAUAAUUGAGUUGGGCUUUAUAUUUAGGUUAAGCUAAAAACCAAAUUAUAUAUAUAUAUAUAUAUAUAUAUAUAUAUAUAUAUAUAAUAUAUAAAUAUAAAAUAUAUGUAUUCAAGCUGUUAUUGAGUCGAAUACGAACGAGCUAAGUCCAACUUGUGUUCGACUCGUUUAUAAAACAAAUUGAAAAAUUCAGUUCGUAUUCGACUCGUUUAUUAAACGAGCGAUUGGAUCUUGAGCUCAUUUCGAGCCGAACACGAGCUGGCUCGCUAAUAGCGAGCUGGAUUGCCACCCUAGCCCCAUCUCCUCUUUAAUAAUUAGUCUUCUGUUAUCGACCGUCCCUAGAGCAAAUGGCAAAGGGUUUGGUGGUUGAUAUCUGAGACCCAAGUUCGAAUCCUAGUUGAUUCACAUUUCCAGCUAAGUUUAUUUCUAAAUGAAAUAAACGAAGCGGGUAGCGUGCUACCUAUCUCUUAAAGAAAAAUAAUUAGUCUUCUGUUCUAAUCCCUCUCUUCUGUUUGCAUGAUUCCUCAUGCGGCACAAUGGAAUGUAAAAUUGCUUUGGUUGAUGCAUGUUUAAGUUUAUAUCCAACUAUCCCACUGUAAAAUAUGUUUACUGUUUCAGUAAGUAUACAACAGAUUAAUAUAUGCUUACUAAUACGUUCUAUACUUAUUCAUAAUCAAUCGUUCUCCGCAAGUAGAUUUGUGGAAAGAAUAUUAUCACAUGCAUCUCAGUAAUAUUCAUUCUUUAGCAUCUUCAGAUUUUUUUUUUUUUUGAAGGGAUAGGUAGCACGCUACCCGCUUCGUUUAUUUCAUUUAGAAAUAAAUUUUGUUAGAAAUGUGAAUCAACUAGAAUUCGAACUUGGGUCUCGGGUACUAACCACCAAAUCUUUUGCCACUUGCUUUAGGAAUAGUCGGUAUCUUCAGAUAUUAUUCAGUUUGAAAAUUUUAUUUUUGUUUUAACUACAUUUAAGGAGGGUUAGGGGGACCAUAGGGUGACACGUGUCCCCCCCAAACCAUCCUUUACUCUCUCUCUAUCUCUCCCUCUCUCUCUCUCUCUCUCUAUAUAUAUAUAUAUAUAAUUUUAAAUUUUGAUACUUUAAAAUUUUAAAUAUUUUAAAUUAUAAAAUUUAAUUUUAACUUAUCAUAUUGAUUUCCAAAUUUUAAACUCCGAAAUUUAAAAUUUUAAAUCUCUAAACUCUAAGGAAUUAAUUAAUUAAUUUUAUUAAACAAUUUCUUAUACAAUUAUAUUUUUCUUCUAUUUAUUGAUUUUUAAAAAUUUAUUUUGAUAGAUUUAUCUCAAAUCCUUCAAAUAUAAAUCUUUAUAAAAUAAUUUAUUGUAUAAAUUUACUUUGCGCAUAUACCAAUUUUAAUGACUUUUAUUUAAAUAGAUUUAACUAUUAAAUUAUUUUCAUAUAUCUUUUAUUUAAUUAAUAAUUAAACUUAUAAAGCUAUAUAAAAAUAUUAAAAAAAUAAAAUUUAUUAUAAAAAUAUUUUUAUAUCCGUGGUAUCGUGCGGGUAUUUCACUAGUAUGUCUUAAUAAGGCGCAUCUGAUAGAAUUUUCGUACAAAACUUUUUUUUUUUCUUUUUUGAUAUUGCUCUUAUCCCUAAUUCUUAUGCCAUUCCCUGUCGGUGUGCAUUAAUUAGUAGAUGAGUUAAAAAUAAAAUAAAAUAAAAUAAAAUAAAAUAAAAGGAGAGAUGGGGAGAAGAGAGAGUGAGAGAUUCACAUGCUGCAUAUCGUUAUCCAACACUACAAAUUAAAUAGAGUGUUAUGUAGCCAUAGGAAUGGAGAAAUUUUUGCGUGCGCCUUUGUCUCUUUGUUAUGUAGGUAGCCUACAUUAUUAAUUAUGUCGACAUGGUUUUUAUCUAGUCUCACGCGCGUUUGGUUUGGCAUAAAACGAAUUAAAAAAUUAUUUUCAGUAUAAAAAAUAUUUUUCAUCUCUUUAGUUCGACCUGCAGAUUUGUAAAAAAAGUUAAAAUUUUCACUUUUCACUAUUUUUUAGCGAAAAACUAAAAAUCAAACUCUCUAAAGUUUUUUUCGUUUAUUUUGUUUAUCAAAUAAAAUAAUAUUGAUAAAAAAUUGAAAAAAAAAUUUCGAUGAAAAACUAUUUUUCACCGUUUUACUUUGAACCAAAUGGAGAGUUUUUUAUAUUUGCUUUUUUUAAAAAAAAUUCUUUUAAGUCGAUUGACGACCAUAACUUAGGCUUUGAAAUUGCCGAGAGAUUGCGGAGAGAUUGCGUUACGUGUGGUGAGAAAGUAUAUUGGAAAAAUAUUCUGUUUAUUUCCGUAUAUAAUAUUGCGUUUCGCAUAUCGCGAUGAGUCGGUUACGAUAUAUUUUCUGCGGUCCCACCGGAGAACGCAGAAGCAUAUCCCUGUAUGUUUUUUUCUCAACUCCAUUUUAUCUAAUAGCGUUUGAUAGAUCUCAGUACCAAACUAAGCCUUAGUCAUUUUCAGAAGCAGAGAAAUUGUUGUCUGAGCCAGUUGUACAAGUACAAUUCACACACCACCACCUCUAACAAAGUAUGAUAGAGAUCUUAAAUAAAAAAUCUUAUUAAAUAUAACUCUGAAAAUUAUUUCUCAUAAGUCAAAUGAAGGAACUAUUGAAAUUGUUUACUGUCCUAGUAAUGGAUUUUUCAAAUCUUAUAUAUAUAUUUUUUUACGUAAAGACCUUUUUAAAUGGUGUGUAGGCCAUAUGUUUUAGAUUAAAUUUGCACCCAAAAAUAUUGAUUAUUAAAACUUAGGCUAAAUUAUGAUAUGAAAAGCCUCUUCGCACAUUAGUCCCUCUCCUAAUUAGCUCCUGCAAGGAAAAUUGCAUUAAUUAUCGUUUACACUUUGCCAUCAUUUCAUAAUAGAUCUAUAAAUUUAAAAAUUAACGAAUUAGAUUCUAAAACUUCACUAAAAUAAGCGUGCACGCAUUGUUCGACAUAUUAGCAUAUAUUUAAUUUGCAAUUCAGAAAAUAGAUAAAAAAUUCAGAUAAAAGAGAUUCCUUAUUUUUGUUAAUACUAUCAAAACCGAUAGUUAAUUGAUUGAGAAAUUUUAUUUAAUUUAUAUGAUUUUACUAUAUUUUUUUAUUAUUUUUACAAAAAAAUAAUCAUUCCAAUCUAUUAUAUCUAUUUGAGAUAAUGACAAAGUGCAGAAUGACUCUGCCUAUUUGACGUAAUUUUUAAUACAGAAAAAUAAGUUAAGAUAUGGGCUAAAUUACAAGAUGCUUAUUAUAAUUUAGCCGAAAAAUAAGUAGAGGUAGGGACUUGGGUGACAAAAUUGUGAGCCAACUUGCUCAUCACCAUCCACUUCGUGUGUGACGCGACACGUGACGAUGAAUUAGAAACGUCGUUGAGGAGCUUCUGUUAAAUAUAAAAAUAUUUAAACACCGUUCUCUAAUCACUAUUUUCUAAUAGCUUAAGGUUUUAGAGUACAACGGUUGUUUCACAUGGUAUCAGAGCAGGAGGUCCUGAGUUCGAGUCAUGCCAGACUCCUAACAUAUUAAUUUCCUCUCAUUUAAUUCAAGCUCACGUCAUGGGCCGAUUAAAAAGUCUUAAGCUCAGACGUGAGAGGGAGUGUUAAAUAUAAAAAUGUUUAAAUACCGUUCUCUAAUAACUUAAACUUUUAGAGAACAACGGUUGUUUCACAGCUGCCUACAAAAAUUUUUUUCACAUUCUACAGUUACCAUGUCUCUUGUUUACAGGAAUGUGAUUUCAUUGCCCUUUUUCUUUUCCUUUUUAGGAGAAAGUCAUAAACAUCUUAACAAUAUCUAAUUGACAGAACAGUCAGUACAGGUGGCGUUUGGAGGGUGCCUUAUUCCACGUGGCGUUGCGAGGUGUGCCCGCUCAGUGCUCGAGAGAAGGAGAGGAAGAAAGAAAGAGAGAAAGAGGCAUGGGGCCUACGCGUGGGAGAGAGACUAGAGGAGAGACCUCUUCUCUCAGCAACUCGUCUGCUUUCUCUCGUCGCCCCUCUGCCCUCUCCCCACGCCCAGCCUCCCCCCACCCCCCCCCAACACCCCCCACCGCCCUGGGCACCCCUAACCCCCCCCCCCCGCCCCCCCCGGCUCUCUCUCGGUCUCUCGACCUCCCGCAGUCCAGCCCCUCAGCCAACGCGCCACUCCUCUCUCUCACCCCGCACGAGCCGUACCCAAGCAGCCCCCGCCCAUCACCGCGACCCGCGCCCCCGCUCUCUCUCGCCCUCCCGUUAACAGCCUCUCCACUCUCUACCUUCCCUCCAUCUCUCUCCCUCUUUCGCGAUGCACUUCUCUGCUCGGCCGCGCCGACGGCUGGAGCGGGGCACGCUGCGGGCGCGCCUGCGCAGCACAGUCGACGCGUUCGCCGGCUCGCGCAGGUGCGUUACGCAUGGCCUAGCAGGACGCCGCGCGAGUACGCGAGUCCGAGCGGCGCGAGCGGCUGAUCCGAUGUGGGAGGCGAGCAACGUUUUUUUGUUCUUUCCCCUCUUCUCAUUCUUUUUUUUUUUUAUAUAUAUAAUCAUAUAUAUUAGCAGUGGCUUGCAGUCUCUUCAGGAGCACGAGCCGCUCUUCGCUUCUCUUGAGGCCAAUUGUUUCUGAUGAUUUUGUGAAUGUUUUUUCGAAUCGACGAUCGGCUAACCGUUAAACUUGUAGUCUAUUUGCGUAUACAAUUGUUUCUAGAAAAUAAUAUUUUGCGGAUUUCGAUAUCAUUUACCUUAAGUGAUCGAAAGGAAUCAAAAUCUUCAUUAAUUUUAAUGGUAUUAUUCUGCCGUUCAAGUAACUGGUAGUUUAUUUAUAGUAUUCCAAAUCAAUGAAAUUUGAUAGACAAAUUCUUAUACUAUUCUACUAAUAAGAUCUAUUAUUCGAUACGAAAAUUUUCAGUGGCUAUAGUCAGGUUUUUUCACUUUUAUAGAAUUUUAUUUUCAGGUUUCCGGCGUAUAUAUAAUUAUUGAUUUGAAUACCUUCGAUUGCUAGGUCUAAAUGAAUACGAAAAAUCCGCAAAAAGUAUUUUCUAAAACGUUAAAACACGCUAGAUCAAGUUUUAAACGGAGCCAUCGUCGAUCAAACCCAUUUCAUCGAAAAUGUACUCAGGAGCACGGAGAUCCGGUCCGUGCUCCGUAGCAGCACAGCAGCCCAUACUCUAAUAUAUAUAUAUAUAAAUAUAUAUAUAAUAUAUUAUAAAUAUACUAUAGUAACAGUAUAUAUAUAUUAUAUAUAUUAUAAUAUAUAGUAUAAAUACUAUAUAUAAUGAUAAGGUGAGCAGGCGGUUUCUUUCUUUCCUCUCUUUUUUUUUUAUAUUAUAAUAGUGUUAUUAUUAGUAUUAUAUAGACGCACUCCUCCUUUUUUACCAUCCGAAUCGCUGCUCUGUGUGCUUUUUAUUUUUUUGCUCGUCUGUGACUGCGCGCGCGCAUUCUCCGCCUGCUCUUAUCGCGCCGCUUCCCAGCUGUUUUUUUUCCUUUGUUUUAUAUAUUAUUAUUUAUUUAUGUAAUUUUUUAUGAUGUAUUUGUAUAUUUAUAGUUUGAUGUAUAAUAUUUGUAUUCUUUUAUUAUAUAUACUAUAAAGGACAGUUGGGCUUUUUUCUCGCAUCGUCUCUAGUCUUUUUUUUGUAUAGUUAUAUAUAUAAUAUUAUAAAUUAUAUAUUAAGAUAAUAUAUUUAUUUUAAUUAUUUUUAUUUAUUUUAUAUAUAAUAAAGUAGUAUAUAAAAGAGAUGAGGAAAAAAAAAAAAAAACGGCCACUCCCUCGCCACAUGCGUGAUUCGCUGCAUCGCGUGCCGUGCCUUGCGACCUGCCGCCGCUGCUGCGCCGGCUGCGUUUUUUUUCUUUUGUUAUAUAGAGUAUAUAUAUAUAUUUAUAUUAUAUAAUAUAUAAUAUAUUAUAAUAAUAAAAAAGUAGAGUGUUAAAUUGCAAUUGUUUACCUCGGUCUCGUCUUUGAAUUUUGGCGAAUUCAGACGUUGCUGCGUUGAAAUUUUGUAAAAUGGACUCGUUAACCUCCGGAACUAUAGGCUCUAUUUUCGAUCAUCGUUACCUCUUCCGUCAGUUUUCCGUCAAGCUCCGUUAACCGGAAACUGACAGAAGAGGUAAAACAAAUGAAAUAUUAGAGUUAAGCAUAUUAAAUGUCUAUUUUAGGAGUCUGGGGGUUAAGUGAAACUCGCCAAAAGUUCAGGAGUAACAAUAUAAUUUACCCAAAUUUUUAUUAUAAAUUAUUUUUAUAUUAUCUUACACUAUUUAACCCUCUCUCUCUCGCGCAGCGUUUCUCUCUCCUAAAUUGACCGACCCCCCUCUCUCCCUGUUUCUGCCUCUCUCCCUCUCUCUCUCUCUCUUUCUGCUAUCUCUGCUCCUCUCUCUCUCUCAAUAUCUCUCCCAAUCUCUCUCUAAAACAGAUCCUCUCUCUCUCUAUCUCCCCAAUCUCUCUCUAAAAUAAAUCCCCUCUCUCUCUCAAUAUCUCUCCGAAUCUCUCUCUCUAAAAUAGAUUCUCUCUCUCUCAAUAUCUCCCCCAAUCUCUCUCUAAAACAACUUUAAAAUACCUCUCUUUCUCUCUCUCAACCCAUCUCUAUAUCUCUCCUCUGUCUCUCCCCAAGUUUUAGCCAAUAAUUCAUUUUUUUAAUGUAAAAUUAAUCUUUUUUUAUUUUUUUUCUUUUUCUUUAAUUAUUUUUUCUUAAUUUAUGGAAUAAAAAAAUUACAGGAGCGUGGGGCGGCCCGCGGUGUGGCGUGGACACGCUGGAGUGCGGGGCGCAGCGCGGCGUGGGGGACACCGCUCUCUUUGUUUUUUUUCCCUUUUAAUGCUCUCUUCACUUUUCAAAUUAUUUUUUUUUCUCUAUUUAAAUAAAUUUUUUUUGUUCUUUUUCUCUCUUUAAUUUUUUAAACUUAAAAAAUUAAGAUUAAAUUUAAAAAAAAUAAGCUCAAAUUUUUAAAAAUAAAUGUUAACAACGUAAGUAUAAAAAUAUAUUAGUUUGAUCAAAAUAUUUUAAAAAAUACGUAAAUCUUCCGCAGCGAAGCGCGGGNUUUUGAUCAGAAAUAUUGAUCUUGUUGUAGAUAGUAUAAAGAAUUUUGUAUCAAAAUUUCAUCUGAUUUGAAUACUUCUACACCGUUAAACUUGAAAACGGCAGAUAUCAGCCGUUAAAAAUUAUGGAUUUUGUAUCCUUUCGAUCACUAGAUAAAUGAUAUCAAAAAUUACAAAAAUUAUUUUCUAUAAAUUUCAAAUGUGCUAGAUCAAGUCUAACGGAGCCGAUCGUCGAUUCGAAAAUUCCAUCAAUGAAAACUGCUCAGGAGCACGGAGGCCUCCGUACUCCUGAGAGCACAGCAGCCCUGCUAUAUAUAUAUAUAUAUAUAUAUAUAUGGUAUUUUAUUUUUUUUUAACAAUUAUAAAGAACUGAAUAAGACUCCAAACUUAAUAAUAAAAGAAAAAUAUAAAAAAUGGGUCUUCCAAACCUGCACAUUACCACAUAACAGAGGAAGAUAGAAAAAAUGAUCCCUAACUUGCACAACUUAAAUAACAAAAUAAUUAAGCUAGUCAAAAAAUUCAAAUAGAUGCCAAAAGAAUGUGGAAUAGAAUUUUAAUAUGUUGGAAUUAGUAUUUGUACUAAUACCAAUUAUAUAAUGUAAAAAUUUAAAUAAACUCUAUCUCUAACUAAUUUUUAAAUUAAAUUUGAGUUAUUUAUUUCAAACAUAAUGAAAAAAAAAUAAGAGAAAAAAGAAGUCCCAAACGAGUUUUUGUAUUUGGCGAUCGUAGGAACAUACAUAGGGAAGUAGCGAAAGACAGAAACUGGGAAGUGGGGAAAACGCGGUUUCCACGUUUUAUUUGGUGGUUUCUGGGAGCCAAUCUGACCGUUUAUUCGAAAUAGGGCCCACACGUGUACAGUAGACAGAUUUUCAUAUAUUUUAGAAAAAAACAGUAUCAUUUUAGGGAAGCGUGGCAUGUUAUACAUUUCAUUCAAUUUUUUUUAAAAAAAUUUUCAAAUGUUAUUCUUGUGCUUUCAUAUUUUCUUAUUUUAGUAUUCUGUAAUUUAAAAUAUAUUAUUUUAGUAUUCUAUAGUUUUAUUCAUUUUUUCUUUUCGUUAUUCCAUUCAUUUAUUUUUUUCUUAAAUCAGUGAAAAAAUUAAAAGUACAUAGUACUAAAAUAAAAAUUCGGUAAAUCACAAAGUAUUACAAGUGAAUAUUUGAUAGACUGUAGGUGGGGUAUCUGAAGUUUUUUUCUAUUUGAUUUAACGAAGAGUUAACGGAGGUGCUGACGGAAAGAAAAAAACGAAACCACAUGAUAAUAAAGUGACACACUUUAAAUUAUAAAAUAGUAAAGUGAGAAAGCGUGAAACCAAGAAAUGGUAUUUAAGAUUUUUUUUUUUCAAAAAAAUAACUUAACGAUAAAUAUUAAAUAAUUAAAUUUUAAAUAAGCACUCUUUAGUUUUAACUUUGUCAUUGAUUUAACGAAAAAAAUUAGUGGAAUCAAUAAUAAAAAGAUAAAACAAAAGGCACAUGACACUAAAUUGAUACAGUUUAAACCACAAGGUACUAAAGUGAGAAAGUGUGAAACCAUAGGAGUGAUAUUUGAAGUUUUUUCUAAAUUAAAGAAUUAAUUUUAUAUAGAUCUCUAUAAAUAUAGUAAAUUAUAAAUAUAUCUUAAUAAAGUUCAACUCUCAUGUAUUGUCCCUAUAAAAAAUCUAAUGCUUUCAAAUAUAUCUUUUCCGAAUUGUUACCGUUAAAGCACUGUUUAUUUUAUAAGUAAAAUCAUCUUUUUUACCAUCAUAAAUAUGUCCAUCCAAAAAUCCUAACUGUUAAUUGAAAAGAGGUAGAAAAAUUAAUUCACCUUAUUAACUAACUAGAAUUAAAUAUUUUAUCUAUAAUUAACUAAUUUUUUUUUAACGAAUUAUAAUGGCAGGAACAUAUUUGAAAAUAUCAGGACUUUUGUAGAAACAAUAUAUGAAAAUUAAAUUUUAAAGUAAUAUAUUUAUAAUUUAUUAUAUUUGUAGGAAACUCUAUAAAAUUAAUCCUAAAUUAAAAUACCACUAGAUUUACAUUCUUUUUUCCUAUAUACAA
rnacentral:lncRNA from 1 species